UUUGGAGAUAGUGCUAAUCUUGAUGCAAGAUAGGUGCAUGAUUUGCAAGGAACAUACCAUAUGCUUAAAAAUCAAUUUGGACGCACCUAAUGGAACUCCUAGAUGACGUGUGUCAUAUGGAAUCUUGCUUUUGUCCAUUUGUAGACAUUGUAAGUUUUAGUGCAAGAUAAUUGCACAGUUUGUGCCUAAUGCACCAUAGUCUAAGAAACCAUUUUGGACGCACUAUUUGGUACUCUUGGAUGAACAGCCCAAGUGGAAGCUUGGUUCGGUCAGUUUGGAGAUAGUGCUAAUACUUAUGCAAGGUAGGUGCAUGCUUUGCAUGGAACAUACCAUAUGCUUGGAAAUCAAUUUAGAUGCACCCGAUGGACCUCCUUGAUGACGUGUGUCAUAUGGAAUCUUGCUUCGGUCCAUUUGGAGAUAUUGUUAGUUUUGGUGCAAGAUAGGUGCACAGUUUGCACCUAAUGCACCAUAGUCUAAGAAACCAUUUUGGACGCACUUGUUGGUACUCCUAGGUGAAGGGUCUCAAGUGGAUGCUCGGUUCGAUCUAUUUGGAGAUAGUGCUAAUCUUGAUGCAAGAUAGAUGCAUGGUCUGCAUGGAACAUACCAUAUGCUUAGAAAUUAAUUUGGACACACCCGAUAGAACUCUUUGAUGACGUGUGUCAUAUGGAAUCUCGCUUUGGUGUGCUUAGAGAUAGUAUUAGUUUUGGUGAAAGAUAUGUGCACGGUUUGCGCCUAAUGCACCAAAGUCUAAGAAACUAUUUUGGAAGCACCUGUUGGUACUCCUAGGGGAAGAAGCUCAAGUGGAGGCUCGGUUUGGUCUGUUUAGAGAUAGUGCUAAUCCUGAUUCAAGAUAGGUGCAUGAUUUGCAUGGAACAUACCAUAUGCUCAGAAAUCAAUUUGGACGCACCAGAUAGAACUCUUUGAUGACGUGUGUCAUAUGGAAUCUCGCUUUGGUGUGCUUAGAGAUGGUAUUAGUUUCGGUGCAAGAUAUGUGCACGGUUUGCGCCUAAUGCACCAAAGUCUAAGAAUCCAUUUUGGAAGCACCUGUUAGUACUCCUAGGAGAAGAGGCUCAAGUUGAGGAUCGGUUUGGUCUGUAUAGAGAUAGUGCUAAUCUUGAUGCAAGAUAGGUGCACGAUUUGCAUGGAACAUACCAUAUGCUUAGAAAUUAAUUUGGACGCACCAGAUGGAACUCCUAGAUGACAUGUGUCGUAUGGAAUCUCACUUCGGUCCGUUUAGAGACAGUGUUAGUUUCAGUGCAAGAUAGGUGCACAGAUUCCACCUAAUGCACCAUAGGAUAAGAUACCGUUUUGGACGCACCCGAUGGUACUCCUAGGUCAAGGGGCUCAAGUGAAAACUCGGUUUAGUCUGUUUGGAGAUAGUCUAAUCUAAUCUUGAUGCAAGAUAGAUGCACGGUUUGCAUGGAACAUACGAUAUCCUCAGAAAUCAAUUAGGACGCACCUGAUAUAACUCCUUGAUGAUGUGUGUCAUAUGGAAUCUUGCUUCGGUUCGUUUAGAGACUGUUAGUUUUGGUAGAAGAUAUGUGCAUGGUUUACGCCUAAUGCACCAUAAGCUAAGAAACCAUUUUAGACGCACUCGAUGGUACUCGUAGUUGAAGAGGCUCAAGUGGAGGCUCGAUUUGGUCUGUUCGGAUAUAGUGCUAAUAUUGAUGCAAGAUAGUUGCACAGUUUGAAUGGAACGUACCAUAUGUUAAGAAAUCAAUUUGGACGCACCCAAUGGAACUCCUAGAUGACGUGUGUCACAUGGAAUCUCGCUUCGCUCUGUUUGGAGACAAUGUUAGUUUCGAUGCAGAUAGGUGCAUAGUUUGUGCCUAAUGCACCAUAGUCUAAGAAACCAUUUUUGACGCACCUGUUUGUUCUCCUAGAUGAAGAGGCUCAAGUGGAAGCUCGGUUCGGUCUGUUUGGAGAUAGUGCUAAUCUUGAUGCAAGAUAGGUGCACGGUUUGCAUGGAACAUACAAUAUGCUUGGAAAUCAAUGUGGAUGCACCCGAUGGAACUCCUUGAUGACGUGUGUCAUAUGGAAUCUCGCUUUGGUCUGUUUAGAAACAGUGUUAGUUUCGGUGCAAGAUAUGUGCAUGGUUUGUGCCUACUGCACCAUAGUCUAAGAAACCAUUUUGGAAGCACCUGUUGGUACUUCGGUGAAGAGGCUCAAGUGGAAGUUCGGGUUGAUCUGUUUGGAGAUAGUGCUAAUCUCGAUGCAAGAUAGGUGCAUGAUAUGCAAGGAACAUACCAUAUGCUUAAAAAUCAAUUUGGACGCACCCAACGGAACUCCUAGAUGACGUGUGUCAUAUGGAAUCUUGCUUUUGUCCGUUAGUAGACAUUGUAAGUUUUAGUACAAGAUAAUUGCACAGUUUGCGCCUAAUGCACCAUAGUCUAAGAAACCAUUUUGGACGCACUAUUUGGUACUCUUGGAUGAAGAGGCCCAAGUGGAAGCUUGGUUCGGUCAGUUUGGAGAUAGUGCUAAUACUUAUGCAAGGUAGGUGCAUGCUUUGCAUGGAACAUACCAUAUGCUUGGAAAUCAAUUUGGAUGCACCCGAUGGACCUCCUUGAUGACGUGUGUCAUAAGUAAUCUUGCUUCGGUCCAUUUGGAGAUAUUGUUAGUUUUGGUGCAAGAUAGGUGCACAGUUUGCACCUAAUGCACCAUAGUCUAAGAAACCAUUUUGGACGCACUUGUUGGUACUCCUAGGUGAAGGGGCUCAAGUGGAUGCUCGGUUCGAUCUAUUUGGAGAUAGUGCUAAACUUGAUGCAAGAUAGAUGCAUGGUCUGCAUGGAAUGUACCAUAUGCUUAGAAUUUAAUUUGGACACACCCGAUAGAACUCUUUGAUGACGUGUGUCAUAUGGAAUCUCGCUUUGGUGUGCUUAGAGAUAGUAUUAGUUUCGGUGCAAGAUAUGUGCACGGUUUGCGCCUAAUGCACCAAAGUCUAAGAAACCAUUUUGAAAGCACCUGUUGGUACUCCUAGGUGAAGAGGCUCAAGUGGAGGCUCGGUUUGGUCUGUUUAGAGAUAGUGCUAAUCUUGAUGCAAGAUAGGUGCACGAUUUGCAUGGAACAUACCAUAUGCUCAGAAAUCAAUUUGGACGCACCAGAUGGAACUCCUAGAUGACAUGUGUCGUAUGGAAUCUCACUUCGGUCCGUUUAGAGACAGUGUUAGUUUCAGUGCAAGAUAGGUGCACGGUUUGCAACUAAUGCACCAUAGGAUAAGAAACCGUUUUGGACGCACCCGAUGGUACUCCUAGGUCAAGGGGCUAAAGUGAAAGCUCGGUUUGGUCUGUUUGGAGAGAGUGCUAAUCUUGAUGCAAGAUAGAUGCACGGUUUGCAUGGAACAUACGAUAUGCUCCGAAAUCAAUUAGGACGCACCUGAUAUAACUCCUUGAUGAUGUGUGUCAUAUGGAAUCUUGCUUCGGUUCGUUUAGAGACUGUUAGUUUUGGUAGAAGAUAUGUGCAUGGUUUAUGCCUAAUGCACCAUAAGCUAAGAAACCAUUUUAGACGCACUCGAUGGUACUCGUAGUUGAAGAGGCUCAAGUGGAGGCUCGAUUUGGUCUGUUCGGAUAUAGUGCUAAUAUUGAUGCAAGAUAGUUGCACAGUUUGAAUGGAACGUACCAUAUGUUAAGAAAUCAAUUUGGACGCACCCAAUGGAACUCCUAGAUUACGUGUGUCACAUGGAAUCUCGCUUCGCUCUGUUUGGAGACAAUGUUAGUUUCGAUGCAGAUAGGUGCAUAGUUUGUGCCUAAUGCACCAUAGUCUAAGAAACCAUUUUUGACGCACCUGUUUGUACUCCUAGAUGAAGAGGCUCAAGCGGAAGCUCAGUUCGUUCUGUUUGGAGAUAGUGCUAAUCUUGAUGCAAGAUAGGUGCACGGUUUGCAUGGAACAUACAAUAUGCUUGGAAAUUAAUGUGGAUGCACCCGAUGGAACUCCUUGAUGACGUGUGUCAUAUGGAAUCUCGCUUUGGUCUGUUUAGAAACAGUGUUAGUUUCGGUGCAAGAUAUGUGCAUGGUUUGUGCCUACUGCACCAUAGUCUAAGAAACCAUUUUGGAAGCACCUGUUGGUACUUCGGUGAAGAGGCUCAAGUGGAAGUUCGGGUUGAUCUGUUUGGAGAUAGUGCUAAUCUCGAUGCAAGAUAGGUGCAUGAUAUGCAAGGAACAUACCAUAUGCUUAAAAAUCAAUUUGGACGCACCCAACGGAACUCCUAGAUGACGUGUGUCAUAUGGAAUCUUGCUUUUGUCCGUUAGUAGACAUUGUAAGUUUUAGUGCAAGAUAAUUGCACAGUUUGAGCCUAAUGCACCAUAGUCUAAGAAACCAUUUUGGACGCACUAUUUGGUACUCUUGGAUGAAGAGGCCCAAGUGGAAGCUUGGUUCGGUCAGUUUGGAGAUAGUGCUAAUACUUAUGCAAGGUAGGUGCAUGCUUUGCAUGGAACAUACCAUAUGCUUGGAAAUCAAUUUGGAUGCACCCGAUGGACCUCCUUGAUGACGUGUGUCAUAUGGAAUCUUGCUUCGGUCCAUUUGGAGAUAUUGUUUGUUUUGGUGCAAGAUAGGUGCACAGUUUGCACCUAAUGCACCAUAGUCUAAGAAACCAUUUUGGACGCACUUGUUGGUACUCCUAGGUGAAGGGGCUCAAGUGGAUGGUCGGUUCGAUCUAUUUGGAGAUAGUGCUAAUCUUGAUGCAAGAUAGAUGCAUGGUCUGCAUGGAACGAACCAUAUGCUUAGAAUUUAAUUUGGACACACCCGAUAGAACUCUUUAAUGACGUGUGUCAUAUGGAAUCUCGCUUUGGUGUGCUUAGAGAUAGUAUCAGUUUCGGUGCAAGAUAUGUGCACGGUUUGCGCCUAAUGCACCAAAGUCUAAGAAACCAUUUGGAAAGCACCUAUUGGUACUCCUAGGUGAAGAGGCUCAAGUGGAGGCUCGGUUUGGUCUGUUUAGAGAUAGUGCUAAUCUUGAUGCAAGAUAGGUGCACGAUUUGCAUAGUACAUACCAUAUGCUCAGAAAUCAAUUUGGACGCACCAGAUGGAACUCCUAGAUGACAUGUGUCGUAUGGAAUCUCACUUCGGUCCGUUUAGAGAUAGUGUUAGUUUCAGUGCAAGAUAGGUGCACGGUUUGCACCUAAUGCACCAUAGGAUAAGAAACCGUUUUGGACGCACACGAUGGUACUCCUAGGUCAAGGGGCUAAAGUGAAAGCUCGGUUUGGUCUGUUUGGAGAGAGUGCUAAUCUUGAUGCAAGAUAGAUGCACGGUUUGCAUGGAACAUAGGAUAUGCUCCGAAAUCAAUUAGGACGCACCUGAUGUAACUCCUUGAUGAUGUGUGUCAUAUGGAAUCUUGCUUCGGUUCAUUUAGAGACUGUUAGUUUUGGUAGAAGAUAUGUGCAUGGUUUACGCCUAAUGCACCAUAAGCUAAGAAACCAUUUUAGACGCACUCGAUGGUACUCGUAGUUGAAGAGGCUCAAGUGGAGGCUCGAUUUGGUCUGUUCGGAUAUAGAGCUAAUCUUGAUGCAAGAUAGUUGCACAGUUUGAAUGGAACGUACCAUAUGUUAAGAAAUCAAUUUGGACGCACCCAAUGGAACUCCUAGAUUACGUGUGUCACAUGGAAUCUCGCUUCGCUCUGUUUGGAGACAAUGUUAGUUUCGAUGCAGAUAGGUGCAUAGUUUGUGCCUAAUGCACCAUAGUCUAAGAAACCAUUUUUGACGCACCUGUUUGUACUCCUAGAUGAAGAGGCUCAAGCGGAAGCUCAGUUCGUUCUGUUGGGAGAUAGUGCUAAUCUUGAUGCAAGAUAGGUGCACGGUUUGCAUGGAACAUACAAUAUGCUUGGAAAUCAAUGUGGAUGCACCCGAUGGAACUCCUUGAUGACGUGUGUCAUAUGGAAUCUCGCUUUGGUCUGUUUAGAAACAGUGUUAGUUUCGGUGCAAGAUAUGUGCAUGGUUUGUGCCUACUGCACCAUAGUCUAAGAAACCAUUUUGGAAGCACCUGUUGGUACUUCGGUGAAGAGGCUCAAGUGGAAGCUCGGUUUGAUCUGUUUGGAGAUAGUGCUAAUCUCGAUGCAAGAUAGGUGCAUGAUUUGCAAGGAACAUACCAUAUGCUUAAAAAUCAAUUUGGACGCACCCAACGGAACUCCUAGAUGACGUGUGUCAUAUGGAAUCUUGCUUUUGUCCGUUUGUAGACAUUGUAUGUUUUAGUGCAAGAUAAUUGCACAGUUUGAGCCUAAUGCACCAUAGUCUAAGAAACCAUUUUGGACGCACUAUUUGGUACUCUUGGAUGAAGAGGCCCAAGUGGAAGCUUGGUUCGGUCAGUUUGGAGAUAGUGCUAAUACUUAUGCAAGGUAGGUGCAUGCUUUGCAUGGAACAUACCAUAUGCUUGGAAAUCAAUUUGGAUGCACCCGAUGGACCUCCUUGAUGACGUGUGUCAUUUGGAAUCUUGCUUCGGUCCAUUUGGAGAUAUUGUUAGUUUUGGUGCAAGAUAGGUGCACAGUUUGCACCUAAUGCACCAUAGUCUAAGAAACCAUUUUGGACGCACUUGUUGGUACUCCUAGGUGAAGGGGCUCAAGUGGAUGCUCGGUUCGAUCUAUUUGGAGAUAGUGCUAAUCUUGAUGCAAGAUAGAUGCAUGGUCUGCAUGGAAUGUACCAUAUGCUUAGAAUUUAAUUUGGACACACCCGAUAGAACUCUUUGAUGAUGUGUGUCAUAUGGAAUCUUGCUUUGGUGUGCUUAGAGAUAGUAUCAGUUUCAGUGCAAGAUAUGUGCACGAUUUGCGCCUAAUGCACCAAAGUCUAAGAAACCAUUUUGGAAGCACCUGUUGGUACUCCUAGGUGAAGAGGCUCAAGUGGAGGCUCGGUUUGGUCUGUUUAGAGAUAGUGCUAAUCUUGAUGCAAGAUAGGUGCACGAUUUGCAUGGAACAUACCAUAUGCUCAGAAAUCAAUUUGGACGCACCAGAUGGAACUCCUAGAUGACAUGUGUCGUAUGGAAUCUCACUUCGGUCCGUUUAGAGACAGUGUUAGUUUCAGUGCAAGAUAGGUGCACGGUUUGCACCUAAUGCACCAUAGGAUAAGAAACCGUUUUGGACGCACCCGAUGGUACUCCUAGGUCAAGGGGCUAAAGUGAAAGCUCGGUUUGGUCUGUUUGGAGAGAGUGCUAAUCUUGAUGCAAGAUAGAUGCACGGUUUGCAUGGAACAUACGAUAUGCUCCGAAAUCAAUUAGGACGCACCUGAUAUAACUCCUUGAUGAUGUGUGUCAUAUGGAAUCUUGCUUCGGUUCGUUUAGAGACUGUUAGUUUUGGUAGAAGAUAUGUGCAUGGUUUACGCCUAAUGCACCAUAAGCUAAGAAACCAUUUUAGACGCACUCGAUGGUACUCGUAGUUGAAGAGGCUCAAGUGGAGGCUUGAUUUGGUCUGUUCGGAUAUAGUGCUAAUCUUGAUGCAAGAUAGUUGCACAGUUUGAAUGGAACGUACCAUAUGUUAAGAAAUCAAUUUGGACGCACCCAAUGGAACUCCUAGAUUACGUGUGUCACAUGGAAUCUCGCUUCGCUCUGUUUGGAGACAAUGUUAGUUUCGAUGCAGAUAGGUGCAUAGUUUGUGCCUAAUGCACCAUAGUCUAAGAAACCAUUUUUGACGCACCUGUUUGUACUCCUAGAUGAAGAGGCUCAAGCGGAAGCUCGGUUCGGUCUGUUUGGAGAUAGUGCUAAUCUUGAUGCAAGAUAGGUGCACGGUUUGCAUGGAACAUACAAUAUGCUUGGAAAUCAAUGUGGAUGCACCCGAUGGAACUCCUUGAUGACGUGUGUCAUAUGGAGUCUCGCUUUGGUCUGUUUAGAAACAGUGUUAGUUUCGGUGCAAGAUAUGUGCAUGGUUUGUGCCUACUGCACCAUAGUCUAAGAAACCAUUUUGGAAGCACCUGUUGGUACUUCGGUGAAGAGGCUCAAGUGGAAGCUCGGUUUGAUCUGUUUGGAGAUAGUGCUAAUCUCGAUGCAAGAUAGGUGCAUGAUUUGCAAGGAACAUACCAUAUGCUUAAAAAUCAAUUUGGAUGCACCCAACGGAACUCCUAGAUGACGUGUGUCAUAUGGAAUCUUGCUUUUGUCCGUUUGUAGACAUUGUAUGUUUUAGUGCAAGAAAAUUGCACAGUUGGAGCCUAAUGCACCAUAGUUUAAGAAACCAUUUUGGACGCACUAUUUGGUACUCUUGGAUGAAGAGGCCCAAGUGGAAGCUUGGUUCGGUCAGUUUGGAGAUAGUGCUAAUACUUAUGCAAGGUAGGUGCAUGCUUUGCAUGGAACAUACCAUAUGCUUGGAAAUCAAUUUGGAUGCACCCGAUGGACCUCCUUGAUGACGUGUGUCAAAUGGAAUCUUGCUUCGGUCCAUUUGGAGAUAUUGUUUGUUUUGGUGCAAGAUAGGUGCACAGUUUGCACCUAAUGCACCAUAGUCUAAGAAACCAUUUUGGACGCACUUGUUGGUACUCCUAGGUGAAGGGGCUCAAGUGGAUGCUCAGUUCGAUCUAUUUGGAGAUAGUGCUAAUCUUGAUGCAAGAUAGAUGCAUGGUCUGCAUGGAAUGUACCAUAUGCUUAGAAUUUAAUUUGGACACACCCGAUAGAACUCUUUGAUGACGUGUGUCAUAUGGAAUCUCGCUUUGGUGUGUUUAGAGAUAGUAUUAGUUUCGGUGCAAGAUAUGUGCACGGUUUGCGCCUAAUCCACCAAAGUCUAAGAAACCAUUUUGGAAGCACCUGUUGGUACUCCUAGGUGAAGAGGCUCACGUGGAGGCUCAGUUUGGUCUGUUUAGAGAUAGUGCUAAUCUUGAUGCAAGAUAGGUGAACGAUUUGCAUGGAACAUACCAUAUGCUCAGAAAUCAAUUUGGACGCACCAGAUAGAACUCCUAGAUGACAUGUGUCGUAUGGAAUCUCACUUUGGUCCGUUUAGAGACAGUGUUAGUUUCAGUGCAAGAUAGGUGCACGGUUUGCACCUAAUGCACCAUAGGAUAAGAAACCGUAUUGGACGCACCCGAUGGUACUCCUAGGUCAAGGGGCUAAAGUGAAAGCUCGGUUUGGUCUGUUUGGAGAGAGUGCUAAUCUUGAUGCAAGAUAGAUGCACGGUUUGCAUGGAACAUACGAUAUGCUCCGAAAUCAAUUAGGACGCACCUGAUAUAACUCCUUGAUGAUGUGUGUCAUAUGGAAUCUUGCUUCGGUUCGUUUAGAGACUGUUAGUUUUGGUAGAAGAUAUGUGCAUGGUUUACGCCUAAUGCACCAUAAGCUAAGAAACCAUUUUAGACGCACUCGAUGGUACUCGUAGUUGAAGAGGCUCAAGUGGAGGCUCGAUUUGGUCUGUUUGGAUAUAGAGCUAAUCUUGAUGCAAGAUAGUUGCACAGUUUGAAUGGAACGUACCAUAUGUUAAGAAAUCAAUUUGGACGCACCCAAUGGAACUCCUAGAUUACGUGUGUCACAUGGAAUCUCGCUUCGCUCUGUUUGGAGACAAUGUUAGUUUCGAUGCAGAUAGGUGCAUAGUUUGUGCCUAAUGCACCAUAGUUUAAGAAACCAUUUUUGACGCACCUGUUUGUACUCUUAGAUGAAGAGGCUCAAGCGGAAGCUCAGUUCGUUCUGUUUGGAGAUAGUGCUAAUCUUGAUGCAAGAUAGGUGCACGGUUUGCAUGGAACAUACAAUAUGCUUGGAAAUCAAUGUGGAUGCACCCGAUGGAACUCCUUGAUGACGUGUGUCAUAUGGAAUCUCGCUUUGGUCUGUUUAGAAACAGUGUUAGUUUCGGUGCAAGAUAUGUGCAUGGUUUGUGCCUACUGCACCAUAGUCUAAGAAACCAUUUUGGAAGCACCUGUUGGUACUUCGGUGAAGAGGCUCAAGUGGAAGCUCGGUUUGAUCUGUUUGGAGAUAGUGCUAAUCUCGAUGCAAGAUAGGUGCAUGAUUUGCAAGGAAGAUACCAUAUGCUUAAAAAUCAAUUUGGACGCACCCAACGGAACUCCUAGAUGACGUGUGUCAGAUGGAAUCUUGCUUUUGUCCGUUUGUAGACAUUGUAUGUUUUAGUGCAAGAUAAUUGCACAGUUUGAGCCUAAUGCACCAUAGUCUAAGAAACCAUUUUGGACGCACUAUUUGGUACUCUUGGAUGAAGAGGCCCAAGUGGAAGCUUGGUUCGGUCAGUUUGGAGAUAGUGCUAAUACUUAUGCAAGGUAGGUGCAUGCUUUGCAUGGAACAUACCAUAUGCUUGGAAAUCAAUUUGGAUGCACCCGAUGUGAUGAGGACAUCAACACCAGCGAUACAUCCUCUCCUACAUCCUCUCCGACACAACCUAUAGCUGGUCCUGGUCCUACAUCCUCUCCGACACAACCUAUAGCUGGUCCUGGUCCUACAUCCUCUCCGACACAACCUAUAGCUGGUCCUCUUACUCGUGCUCGUGCUCGUGCCCGUCAACUCAACCUUCAAGUAAGUUCAGUUUUAAACUCUUGUCAAUCAUAUUUAGACAAUGGAGACACGUGCACUUUCGUGUUGCUCAGGAAUAAUGGACAAGAUCAGCAAGGGAAGGUUCAACUGCAUUCGGAAUUUGAGGCAACACCAACUUCAAGGGCUGAUUGCAUAUGGGAAGAGUGAUAACUUAACAAAGGUGAUUGGAGAUCAGGUCCAAGCCUCCACAACAUCCUCUAUCAAGUUACCACGUCGCUUCUAAAGCAAAGAAACAAAGGGUCCAAACCCAACACGUUUUGGGAGUUGGAUUCAGACUGGAAAAUAACUCUAACUUGUAUGGAUCACCACGGGGUCAUAUGGACUCCAACUGGGACGUUCCUAUACUUGUUGGAAAGCUCAUGAAGUCUACUUUCCAAUGGGUCCAACCACAUAUCUAUGCAGCUUAUGAGUCGGGCGCAGUCCUUGUUUUCGUGCCGACACCUUUUUCUGUUUUGGUGCUGCGUCACCCUAUUUUGGACCAAUGGCCCAUGUAUCAAGUUGAGUCCAUUAGGGACGCGUCUUAGGGUUGGAGGACGACUCUAGCACCCCUUUGGUCGUCCUCCUCUCUAUUUAUUUACAUCUAGAGCCGCCAUGAACAACUGGGUUUUGAUUAGAUAAAGUUUAGCCUUCGCUACUUGCUUGUAAACGCGCGUGCUGAUCCAGCCGCCCGUCUUCUUGUUUUCGAAACCCCACUUCAUUAGAGAUUGAGCUUGAAACCUUCAUUUACAUCUAGUAUUUUAGUACUUGUUCUACUUGUUCUUGCUGGUUCUUCGAUUGCUUGCAGGACGAGUGCCCUAGUGGCCGGGUGUUGCGCUCCACAAAAUCGUGACAGCCAUUGGAGGCGGUGUAUCGGUUGCUAAGGCGCGGCCUUAGAAGGCUGUAGUCGGGCCGUGAACGUCAUCUCCAUUCACUAAUCGAGUUAUCCAGCGCCUCUCAUCGAAAGAUCAGGCGAAAACCCUAGUGGGUUCACAUCAGUUGGUAUCAGAGCAAGGUUUAUCGGUGAGAGAUUUCCAAUUCUUCGUGUUUGUUUUUCCUAUAGUCCAAAAAAGACAAAAAAAUAUAGCAGAUUUGUUUUCCAUAAUCCUAUAAAUCCUUUGUGCCGUGGCUAGUACUACUUAGUUAGGGCUGAUUGAAUGAGUGUUUGCUUCGGUCGUGUCCAGUGCUGAUUUUAGUUUAGUCCUUUAGAGUUUUGAGUUCUUGUCACCAUCUAGUCACAGCUGCGUCCAAUCUAUUGUGGGUUGGAAUUUGAGUAGAUCUUGAUAAUAGGUGCAGCCACUUGUUGGUCUAUUCUGUGUUUCCAUCAACGUGAUCCAAAAGGAAAGAUAGCACUUCAUACUUGUGCUAGAUAUAUUGAAUUUUGAGGUUCAGCCUUACUCUAGUGAGAGGGUGAGAGUGGUGAAGUGAUAUUUUGUACUAUUUUGUUUAUAUAAUCAGGUUUUGAGGUUCCCCAAAAAAAAGAAAAGAGAAAAAAAAAAUAAAGAAAAAAAAAGAAAGAAAGAAAGAAAAAAAAAUCAAAAAAAGGGGAUUGUUGUUCCUUUUGUUUCCAGUAGGGCUGCUCAUUUUGUUUCUAGUGGUGUGCUGUGUUUUUCCUUUGUGUCCAGGCUCGCGUCUCUAGCACGGUCUAGCCUAGGACCAGCACAGUACCAUCGUCAAAUGCUUAUUCAGCUCGCUUUUAUAACUAACGUGGUGCUAGUUCGUUCCUUGUUUCAGCCCACCUAUAGCUCCACAUACUCUACAGCUUGACAGGUCUUGUGCUGCAGCACCGAUACACUUCGUCCAUUGCUGUACACUUGUUGGCAGACGACCCCUCCUGUCAAGCAAGGUAAGAAUUGGUAAGAACUUGUGUUACAGGUUGAGUGUGAGCGACUUGCUGUAGCUACAUCCUAGUAGUUGUAGGGCUUUUAUUUCUUCACUUGCCUUUUUGUUGUCUUUGUCUUUGAACCAUGCCAGGGGCAGAUGAUGGUAACGAAACACGACUUACACCUCGCACUAAGGGCAUCAUACAACAUUUUGAAAGGAAAGUGAAGCUGCACACAGAGGGACUUGAUAACAACUUGCAGGUGACGAAUGAAAAGCUGGGGCAGUUGGAGGCUACGCAGAUUGCCACAAACAACAAGCUCACAAGUUUGGAGGAAUCCGUUGCUAGUGUGGACAAAAGCCUUGCUGCUCUCCUAAGGCGAUUUAAUGCUUUCCACACCGAAGAUAAAGAGAAGCAAAAAGAAGAAAAGGAGGGAGAUCGAGAGCAUGGUAGUCAUGAAGAUGACUACACUGGUGAUACUGAACAUGAUGAUCAAGACACUCGUGAUCGACGUCGCCUUCGUCACAACCGUAGAGGUAUGGGUGGCAACCACCGACGCGAGGUACACAAUAAUGAUGAUGCUUUCAGUAAGAUUAAAUUUAAGAUACCCCCUUUUGAUGGUAAAUAUGACCCUAAUGCUUACAUCACUUGGGAGAUUGCUGUGGAUCAAAAGUUUGCAUGUCAUGAAUUUCCUGAGACUACACGUGUUAGGGCUGCUACUAGUGAGUUUACAGAUUUUGCUUCUGUUUGGUGGAUAGAAUAUGGAAAGAAAAAUCCUAAUAACUUACCUAGAACUUGGGAUGCGCUGAAAAGGGCCAUGAGAGCUAGAUUUGGUCCAUCUUACUAUGCGCGUGAUAUGAUAAAUAAGUUGCAGCAGUUAAGACAAGGUGCUAAAAGUGUAGAAGAAUAUUAUCAGGAAUUACAAACGGGUAUGUUGCGUUGUAACCUAGAGGAGGAUGAGGAGCCGGCUAUGGCUAGAUUUUUGGGUGGGUUAAAUCGGGAAAUUCAGGACAUCCUCGCUUACAAAGAAUACAAUAAUGUAACUCGUUUGUUUCAUCUUGCUUGUAAAGCUGAAAGGGAAGUGCAGGGACGACGUGCUAGCGCAAGGAGUAAUAUUUCUGCAGGGAAGGCUAAUUCAUGGCAGCAACACAUGGCUUCAACUCCAUCUACACGUAUUUCUACUCCAUCAUCUAGUGACAAGACUCGAGCUGCCCCCACCAAUUCAGUUGCGAAGACGAUGCAAAAGCCUGCUGCGAGUACUUCAUCCGUGGCAUCGACGGGUAGAACAAGCAACAUACAAUGUCAUCGGUGCAAGGGAUAUGGGCACAUGAUGCGUGACUGCCCAAACAAGCGAGUUAUGAUUGUCAGGGAUGAUGGUGAGUACUCAUCUGCUAGUGAUUUUGAUGAGGAUACACUUGAACUGUGAUGCGAGCCCGCUAGGGUUUUUGGACUGAUCUUUCGAUGAGAGGCGCUGGAUAACUCGAUUAGUGGAUGGAGAUGACGUUCACGGCCCGACUACAGCCCUCAAGACCGCGCCUUAGCAACCGAUACACCACGUCCAACAGCCGUCACGAUCUUGUGGAGCGCGACAACCAGCCCCUAGGGCUCCCGUCCUGCAAGCAAUCGAAGAACUAGCAAGAACAAGGAAACAAGCACUGAAUUUGCAAGAUGAAUUGAAGGUUUUAAACUGAAUCUUAAUCAACAAUGGGGUUCCGAAGACAAGGAGGCGGGCGGCUGAUCCUGCACGCGCGCCUACAAGCAAGUAGCGAAGGCUAAACUUGAUCUAAACAAAACCCAAUUGUUCAUGGCGGCUCUAGAUGUAAAUAAAUAGAGGGGAGGAUGACCAAAGGGGUGCUAGAGUCGUCCUCCAACCCUAGGACGCGUCCCUAAUGGACUCAACUUGAUACAUGGGCCAUUGGUCCAAAAUAGGGUGACGCAGCACCAAAACAGAAAAAGGUGUCGGCACGAAAACAAGGACUGCGCCCGACUCAUAAGCUGCAUAGAUAUGUGGUUGGACCCAUUGGAAAGUAGACUUCAUGAGCUUUCCAACAAGUAUAGGAACGUCUCAGUUGGAGUCCAUAUGACGCCGUGGUGAUCCAUACAAGUUAGAGUUAUUUUCCAGUCCGAAUCCAAGUCCCAAAACGUGUUGGGUUUGGACUCUUUGUUUCUUUGCUUUAGAAGCGACGUGGUAACUUGAUAGAGGAUGUUGUGGAGGCUUGGACCUGAUCUCCAAUCACCUUUGUUAAGUUAUCACUCUUCCCAUAUGCAAUCAGCCCAUGAAGUUGGUGUUGCCUCAAAUUCUGAAUACAGUUGAACCUUCCCUUGCUGAUCUUGUCCAUUAUUCCUGAGCAACACGAAAGUGCACGUGUCUCCAUUGUCUAAAUAUGAUUGACAAGAGUUUAAAACUGAACUUACUUGAAGGUUGAGUUGACGGGCACGAGCACGAGUAAGAGGACCAGCUAUAGGUUGUGCCGGAGAGGAUGUAGGAUAUGUAUCGCUGGUGGAUGUAGGAUAUGUAUCGCUGGUGUUGAUGUCCUCAUCACACUGCUUGCGACUGACCAUGCAGGUAAUGAAGAUCAAAUAGAAGAACAUAUUAAUGCUGGUGAAGCGGACCACUAUGAGAGCUUGAUCGUGCAGCGAGUGCUUAGUGCACAAAUGGAGAUGGCGGAGCAAAAUCAGCGACACAUUUUAUUCCAAACAAAGUGUGUCAUCAAAGAGCGUUCUUGUCGCAUGAUCAUUGAUGGAGGUAGCUGCAACAACUUGGCAAGCAGCGAUAUGGUGCAGAAGCUUGCCCUCAACACCAAGCCACACCCGCAUCCCUACUACAUCCAAUGGCUGAACAACAGUGGUAAGGCAAAGGUAACUAGACUUGUGAGAAUUAAUUUUUCCAUCGGAUCCUACAAAGAUAUUGUUGAAUGUGAUGUUGUGCCUAUGCAAGCUUGUAACAUUCUGCUAGGUAGACCUUGGCAAUUUGAUAGAGAUUCUAUGCAUCAUGGUAGAUCAAAUCAGUAUUCUUUUCUAUACCAUGAUCGCAAAAUUGUGUUGCAUCCUAUGUCCCCUGAAACUAUUAUGCAAACUGACGUUGCUAGGGCUACUAAAGCAAAGAGCAAGAGCAAUAAAAAUGAUAAAUCUGUAAUUGGUAACAAAGAUGAGAUAAAACUGAAAGGACGUUGUAUGAUAGCUACCAAAUCAGAUAUUAAUGAGUUCAAUGCAUCCACUUCUGUUGCUUAUGCUUUGAUAUGCAAGGAUGCUUUGAUUUCAGUUGAGGAUAUGCAAUGUUCUUUGCCCCCUGCUGUUGCUAACGUUUUGCAGGAGUAUUCUGAUGUGUUUCCAAGUGAGGUACCAGCGGGGCUGCCUCCACUACGCGGGAUUGAGCACCAAAUUGAUCUUAUUCCUGUAGCAGUUUUGCCAAAUCGUGCACCAUACAGGACAAACCCGGAGGAGACAAAGAAAAUUCAGCGACAAGUACAAGAACUACUAGACAAAGGUUAUGUCCGAGAAUCUCUUAGUCCUUGUGCUGUUCCAGUAAUUUUAGUGCCAAAGAAAGAUGGAACAUGGCGUAUGUGUGUUGAUUGUAGAGCUAUUAAUAAUAUCACCAUUCGAUAUCGACACCCUAUUCCACGAUUAGAUGAUAUGCUAGAUGAACUGAGUGGUGCUGUUGUGUUUUCAAAAGUUGAUUUACGUAGUGGGUACCACCAGAUUCGUAUGAAAUUGGGAGAUAAAGGUAGAAAGCAAUUGAUUCUGGAACCUGGGGAUUUGGUUUGGUUGCAUUUGCGAAAAGAUAGAUUUCCAGAACUGAGAAAAUCCAAAUUGAUGCCUAGAGCUGAUGGUCCUUUUAAAGUGCUGCAACGAAUUAAUGAGAAUGCAUAUAAGCUUGAUCUUCCUGCAGAUUUUGGGGUUAGUCCCACAUUUAACAUUGCAGAUUUGAAGCCUUAUUUGGGUGAGGAAGAUGAGCUUGAGUCGAGGACGACUCAAAUGCAAGAAAGGGAGGAUGAUGAGGACAUCAACACCAGCGAUACAUCCUCUCCUACAUCCUCUCCGACACAACCUAUAACUGGUCCUGGUCCUACAUCCUCUCCGACACAACCUAUAGCUGGUCCUGGUCCUACAUCCUCUCCGACACAACCUAUAGCUGGUCCUCUUACUCGUGCUCGUGCUCGUGCCCGUCAACUCAACCUUCAAGUAAGUUCAGUUUUAAACUCUUGUCAAUCUUAUUUAGACAAUGGAGACAUGUGCACUUUCAUGUUGCUCAGGAAUAAUGGACAAGAUCAGCAGGGAAGGUUCAACUGCAUUCGGAAUUUGAGGCAACACCAACUUCAAGGGCUGAUUGCAUAUGGGAAGAGUGAUAACUUAACAAAGGUGAUUGGAGAUCAGGUCCAAGCCUCCACAACAUCCUCUAUCAAGUUACCACGUCGCUUCUAAAGCAAAGAAACAAAGAGUCCAAACCCAACACGUUUUGGGAGUUGGAUUCGGACUGGAAAAUAACUCUAACUUGUAUGGAUCACCACGGCGUCAUAUGGACUCCAACUGGGACGUUCCUAUACUUGUUGGAAAGUCAUGAAGUCUACUUUCCAAUGGGUCCAACCACAUAUCUAUGCAGCUUAUGAGUCGGGCGCAGUCCUUGUUUUCGUGCCGACACCUUUUUCUGUUUUGGUGCUGCGUCACCCUAUUUUGGACCAAUGGCCCAUGUAUCAAGUUGAGUCCAUUAGGGACGCGUCUUAGGGUUGGAGGACGACUCUAGCACCCCUUUGGUCGUCCUCCCCUCUAUUUAUUUACAUCUAGAGCCGCCAUGAACAACUGGGUUUUGAUUAGAUAAAGUUUAGCCUUCGCUACUUGCUUGUAAACGCGCGUGCUGAUCCAACCGCCCGUCUUCUUGUUUUCGAAACCCCACUUCAUUAGAGAUUGAGCUUGAAACCUUCAUUUACAUCUAGUAUUUUAGUACUUGUUCUACUUGUUCUUGCUGGUUCUUCGAUUGCUUGCAGGACGAGUGCCCUAGUGGCCGGGUGUUGCGCUCCACAAGAUCGUGAUAGCCAUUGGAGGCGGUGUAUCGGUUGCUAAGGCGCGGCCUUAGAAGGCUGUAGUCGGGCCGUGAACAUCAUCUCCAUUCACUAAUCGAGUUAUCCAGCGCCUCUCAUCGAAAGAUCAGGCGAAAACCCUAGUGGGUUCACAUCACGAUGGACCUCCUUGAUGACGUGUGUCAUAUGGAAUCUUGCUUUGGUCCAUUUGGAGAUAUUGUUAGUUUUGGUGCAAGAUAGGUGCACAGUUUGCACCUAAUGCACCAUAGUCUAAGAAACCAUUUUGGACGCACUUGUUGGUACUCCUAGGUGAAGGGGCUCAAGUGGAUGCUCGGUUCGAUCUAUUUGGAAAUAGUGCUAAUCUUGAUGCAAGAUAGAUGCAUGGUCUGCAUAGAAUGUACCAUAUGCUUAGAAUUUAAUUUGGACACACCUGAUAGAACUCUUUGAUGACGUGUGUCAUAUGGAAUCUCGCUUUGGUGUGCUUAGAGAUAGUAUCAGUUUCGGUGCAAGAUUUGUGCACGAUUUGCGCCUAAUGCACCAAAGUCUAAGAAACCAUUUUCGAAGCACCUGUUGGUACUCCUAGGUGAAGAGGCUCAAGUGGAGGCUCGGUUUGGUCUGUUUAGAGAUAGUGCUAAUCUUGAUGCAAGAUAGGUGAACGAUUUGCAUGGAACAUACCAUAUGCUCAGAAAUCAAUUUGGACGCACCAGAUGGAACUCCUAGAUGACAUGUGUCGUAUGGAAUCUCACUUCGGUCCGUUUAGAGACAGUGUUAGUUUCAGUGCAAGAUAGGUGCUCGGUUUGCACCUAAUGCACCAUAGGAUAAGAAACCGUUUUGGACGCACCCGAUGGUACUCCUAGGUCAAGGGGCUAAAGUGAAAGCUCGGUUUGGUCUGUUUGGAGAGAGUGCUAAUCUUGAUGCAAGAUAGAUGCACGGUUUGCAUGGAACAUACGAUAUGCUCCGAAAUCAAUUAGGAAGCACCUGAUAUAACUCCUUGAUGAUGUGUGUCAUAUGGAAUCUUGCUUCGGUUCGUUUAGAGACUGUUAGUUUUGGUAGAAGAUAUGUGCAUGGUUUACGCCUAAUGCACCAUAAGCUAAGAAACCAUUUUAGACGCACUCGAUGGUACUCGUAGUUGAAGAGGCUCAAGUGGAGGCUCGAUUUGGUCUGUUCGGAUAUAGAGCUAAUCUUGAUGUAAGAUAGUUGCACAGUUUGAAUGGAACGUACCAUAUGUUAAGAAAUCAAUUUGGACGCACCCAAUGGAACUCCUAGAUUACGUGUGUCACAUGGAAUCUCGCUUCGCUCUGUUUGGAGACAAUGUUAGUUUCGAUGCAGAUAGGUGCAUAGUUUGUGCCUAAUGCACCAUAGUCUAAGAAACCAUUUUUGACACACCUGUUUGUACUCCUAGAUGAAGAGGCUCAAGCGGAAGCUCAGUUCGUUUUGUUUGGAGAUAGUGCUAAUCUUGAUGCAAGAUAGGUGCACGGUUUGCAUGGAACAUACAAUAUGCUUGGAAAUCAAUGUGGAUGCACCCGAUGGAACUCCUUGAUGACGUGUGUCAUAUGGAAUCUCGCUUUGGUCUGUUUAGAAACAGUGUUAGUUUCGGUGCAAGAUAUGUGCAUGGUUUGUGCCUACUGCACCAUAGUCUAAGAAACCAUUUUGGAAGCACCUGUUGGUACUUCGGUGAAGAGGCUCAAGUGGAAGCUCGGUUUGAUCUGUUUGGAGAUAGUGCUAAUCUCGAUGCAAGAUAGGUGCAUGAUUUGCAAGGAACAUACCAUAUGCUUAAAAAACAAUUUGGACGCACCCAAUGGAACUCCUAGAUGACGUGUGUCAUAUGGAAUCUUGCUUUUGUCCGUUUGUAGACAUUGUAUGUUUUAGUGCAAGAUAAUUGCACAGUUUGAGCCUAAUGCACCAUAGUCUAAGAAACCAUUUUGGACGCACUAUUUGGUACUCUUGGAUGAAGAGGCCCAAGUGGAAGCUUGGUUCGGUCAGUUUGGAGAUAGUGCUAAUACUUAUGCAAGGUAGGUGCAUGCUUUGCAUGGAACAUACCAUAUGCUUGGAAAUCAAUUUGGAUGCACCCGAUGGACCUCCUUGAUGACGUGUGUCAUAUGGAAUCUUGCUUCGGUCCAUUUGGAGAUAUUGUUAGUUUUGGUGCAAGAUAGGUGCACAGUUUGCACCUAAUGCACCAUAGUCUAAGAAACCAUUUUGGACGCACUUGUUGGUACUCCUAGGUGAAGGGGCUCAAGUGGAUGCUCGGUUCGAUCUAUUUGUAGAUAGUGCUAAUCUUGAUGCAAGAUAGAUGCAUGGUCUGCAUGGAAUGUACCAUAUGCUUAGAAUUUAAUUUGGACACACCCGAUAGAACUCUUUGAUGACGUGUGUCAUAUGGAAUCUCGCUUUGGUGUGCUUAGAGAUAGUAUCAGUUUCGGUGCAAGAUAUGUGCACGAUUUGCGCCUAAUGCACCAAAGUCUAAGAAACCAUUUUGGAAGCACCUGUUGGUACUCCUAGGUGAAGAGGCUCAAGUGGAGGCUCGGUUUGGUCUGUUUAGAGAUAGUGCUAAUCUUGAUGCAAGAUAGGUGCACGAUUUGCAUGGAACAUACCAUAUGCUCAGAAAUCAAUUUGGACGCACCAGAUGGAACUCCUAGAUGACAUGUGUCGUAUGGAAUCUCACUUCGGUCCGUUUAGAGACAGUGUUAGUUUCAGUGCAAGAUAGGUGCACGGUUUGCACCUAAUGCACCAUAGGAUAAGAAACCGUUUUGGACGCACCCGAUGGUACUCCUUGGUCAAGGGGCUAAAGUGAAAGCUUGGUUUGGUCUGUUUGGAGAGAGUGCUAAUCUUGAUGCAAGAUAGAUGCACGGUUUGCAUGGAACAUACGAUAUGCUCCGAAAUCAAUUAGAACGCACCUGAUAUAACUCCUUGAUGAUGUGUGUCAUAUGAAAUCUUGCUUCGGUUCGUUUAGAGACUGUUAGUUUUGGUAGAAGAUAUGUGCAUGGUUUACGCCUAAUGCACCAUAAGCUAAGAAACCAUUUUAGAUGCACUCGAUGGUACUCGUAGUUGAAGAGACUCAAGUGGAGGCUCGAUUUGGUCUGUUCGGAUAUAGAGCUAAUCUUGAUGCAAGAUAGUUGCACAGUUUGAAUAGAACGUACCAUAUGUUAAGAAAUCAAUUUGGACGCACCCAAUGGAACUCCUAGAUUACGUGUGAAACAUGGAAUCUCGCUUCGCUCUGUUUGGAGACAAUGUUAGUUUCGAUGCAGAUAGGUGCAUAGUUUGUGUCUAAUGCACCAUAGUCUAAGAAACCAUUUUUGACGCACCUGUUUGUACUCCUAGAUGAAGAGGCUCAAGUGGAAGCUCAGUUCGUUCUGUUUGGAGAUAGUGCUAAUCUUGAUGCAAGAUAGGUGCACGGUUUGCAUGGAACAUACAAUAUGCUUGGAAAUCAAUGUGGAUGCACCCGAUGGAACUCCUUGAUGACGUGUGUCAUAUGGAAUCUCGCUUUGGUCUGUUUAGAAACAGUGUUAGUUUCGGUGCAAGAUAUGUGCAUGGUUUGUGCCUACUGCACCAUAGUCUAAGAAACCAUUUUGGAAGCACCUCUUGGUACUUCGGUGAAGAGGAUCAAGUGGAAGCUCGGUUUGAUCUGUUUGGAGAUAGUGCUAAUCUCGAUGCAAGAUAGGUGCAUGAUUUGCAAGGAACAUACCAUAUGCUUAAAAAUCAAUUUGGACGCACCCAACGGAACUCCUAGAUGACGUGUGUCAUAUGGAAUCUUGCUUUUGUCCGUUUGUAGACAUUGUAUGUUUUAGUGCAAGAUAAUUGCACAGUUUGAGCCUAAUGCACCAUAGUCUAAGAAACCAUUUUGGACGCACUAUUUGGUACUCUUGGAUGAAGAGGCCCAAGUGGUAGCUUGGUUCGGUCAGUUUGGAGAUAGUGCUAAUACUUAUGCAAGGUAGGUGCAUGCUUUGCAUGGAACAUACCAUAUGCUUGGAAAUCAAUUUGGAUGCACCCGAUGGACCUCCUUGAUGACGUGUGUCAUAUGGAAUCUUGCUUCGGUCCAUUUGGAGAUAUUGUUAGUUUUGGUGCAAGAUAGGUGCACAGUUUGCACCUAAUGCACCAUAGUCUAAGAAACCAUUUUGGACGCACUUGUUGGUACUCCUAGGUGAAGGGGCUCAAGUGGAUGCUCGGUUCGAUCUAUUUGGAAAUAGUGCUAAUCUUGAUGCAAGAUAGAUGCAUGGUCUGCAUGGAAUGUACCAUAUGCUUAGAAUUUAAUUUGGACACACCUGAUAGAACUCUUUGAUGACGUGUGUCAUAUGGAAUCUCGCUUUGGUGUGCUUAGAGAUAGUAUCAGUUUCGGUGCAAGAUAUGUGCACGAUUUGCGCCUAAUGCACCAAAGUCUAAGAAACCAUUUUGGAAGCACCUGUUGGUACUCCUAGGUGAAGAGGCUCAAGUGGAGGCUCGGUUUGGUCUGUUUAGAGAUAGUGCUAAUCUUGAUGCAAGAUAGAUGAACGAUUUGCAUGGAACAUACCAUAUGCUCAGAAAUCAAUUUGGACGCACCAGAUGGAACUCCUAGAUGACAUGUGUCGUAUGGAAUCUCACUUCGGUCCGUUUAGAGACAGUGUUAGUUUCAGUGCAAGAUAGGUGCACGGUUUGCACCUAAUGCACCAUAGCAUAAAAAACCGUUUUGGACGCACCCGAUGGUACUCCUAGGUCAAGGGGCUAAAGUGAAAGCUCGGUUUGGUCUGUUUGGAGAGAGUGCUAAUCUUGAUGCAAGAUAGAUGCACGGUUUGCAUGGAACAUACGAUAUGCUCCGAAAUCAAUUAGGACGCACCUGAUAUAACUCCUUGAUGAUGUGUGUCAUAUGGAAUCUUGCUUCGGUUCGUUUAGAGACUGUUAGUUUUGGUAGAAGAUAUGUGCAUGGUUUACGCCUAAUGCACCAUAAGCUAAGAAACCAUUUUAGACGCACUGGAUGGUACUCGUAGUUGAAGAGGCUCAUGUGGAGGCUCGAUUUGGUCUGUUCGGAUAUAGAGCUAAUCUUGAUGCAAGAUAGUUGCACAGUUUGAAUAGAACGUACCAUAUGUUAAGAAAUCAAUUUGGACGCACUCAAUGGAACUCCUUGAUUACGUGUGUCACAUGGAAUCUCGCUUCGCUCUAUUUGGAGACAAUGUUAGUUUCGAUGCAGAUAGGUGCAUAGUUUGUGCCUAAUGCACCAUAGUCUAAGAAACCAUUUUUGACGCACCUAUUUGUACUCCUAGAUGAAGAGGCUCAAGCGGAAGCUCAGUUCGUUCUGUUUGGAGAUAGUGCUAGUCUUGAUGCAAGAUAGGUGCACUGUUUGCAUGGAACAUACAAUAUGCUUGGAAAUCAAUGUGGAUGCACCCGAUGGAACUCCUUGAUGACGUGUGUCAUAUGGAAUCUUGCUUUUGUCCGUUUGUAGACAUUGUAAGUUUUAGUGCAAGAUAAUUGCACUGUUUGCGCCUAAUGCACCAUAGUCUAAGAAACCAUUUUGGACGCACUAUUUGGUACUCUUGGAUGAAGAGGCCCAAGUGGAAGCUUGGUUCGGUCAGUUUGGAGAUAGUGCUAAUACUUAUGCAUGGUAGGUGCAUGCUUUGCAUGGAACAUACCAUAUGCUUGGAAAUCAAUUUGGAUGCACCCGAUGGACCUCCUUGAUGAUGUGUGUCAUAUAGAAUCUUGCUUCGGUCCAUUUGGAGAUAUUGUUAGUUUUGGUGCAAGAUAGGUGCACCGUUUGCACCUAAUGCACCAUAGUCUAAGAAACCAUUUUGGACGCACUUGUCGGUACUCCUAGGUGAAGGGGCUCAAGUGGAUGCUCGGUUCGAUCUAUUUGGAGAUAGUGCUAAUCUUGAUGCAAGAUGGAUGCAUGGUCUGCAUGGAACGUACCGUAUGCUUAGAGUUUAAUUUGGACACACUCGAUAGAACUCUUUGAUGACGUGUGUCACAUGGAAGCUCGCUUUGGUGUGCUUAGAGAUAUUAUUAGUUUCGGUGCAAGAUAUGUGCAUGGUUUGUGCCUAAUGAACCAUAGUCUAAGAAACCAUUUUUGACACACCUGUUUGUACUCCUAGAUGAAGAAGCUCAAGUGGAAGCUCGGUUCGGUCUGUUUGGAGAUAGUGUUAAUCUUGAUGCAAGAUAGGUGCAUGGUUUGCAUGGAACAUACAAUAUGCUUGGAAAUCAAUGUGGAUGCACUCGAUGGAACUCCUUGAUGACGUGUGUCAUAUGGAAUCUCGCUUUGGUCUGUUUAGAAACAGUGUUAGUUUCUGUGCAAGAUAAUUGCACAGUUUGAGCCUAAUGCACCAUAGUCUAAGAAACCAUUUUGGAAGCACCUGUUGGUACUUCGGUGAAGACGCUCAAGUGGAAGAUCGGUUGGAUCUGUUUGGAGAUAGUGCUAAUCUUGAUGCAAGAUAGGUGAACGGUUUGCAUGGACCAUACCAUAUGCUUAAAAAUCAAUUUGGACGCACCCAAUGGAACUCCUAGAUGACGUGUGUCAUAUGGAAUCUUGCUUUUGUCCGUUUGUAGACAUUGUAAGUUUUAGUGCAAGAUAAUUGCACAGUUUGCGCCUAAUGCACCAUAGUCUAAGAAACCAUUUUGGACGCACUAUUUGGUACUCUUGGAUGAAGAGGCCCAAGUGGAAGCUUGGUUCGGUUAGUUUGGAGAUAGUGCUAAUACUUAUGCAAGGUAGGUGCAUGCUUUGCAUGGAACAUACCAUAUGCUUGGAAAUCAAUUUGGAUGCACCGAUGGACCUCCUUGAUGACAUGUGUCAAAUGGAAUCUUGCUUCAGUCCACUUGGAGAUAUUGUUAGUUUUGGUGCAAGAUAGGUGCACAGUUUGCACCUAAUGCACCAUAGUCUAAGAAACCAUUUUGGACGCACUUGUUGGUGCUCCGAGGUGAAGGGCUCAAGUGGAUGCUCGGUUCGAUCUAUUUGGAGAUAGUGCUAAUCUUGAUGCAAGAUAGAUGCUUGGUCUGCUUGGAACGUACCAUAUGCUUAGAAAUUAAUUUGGACACACCGAUAGAACUCUUUGAUGACGUGUGUCAUAUGGAAUCUCGCUUUGGUGUGCUUAGAGAUAGUAUCAGUUUCGGUGCAAGACAUGUGCACGGUUUGCACCUAAUGCACCAAAGUCUAAGAAACCAUUUUGGAAGCACCUGUUAGUACUCCUAGGUGAAGAGGCUCAAGUGGAGGCUCGGUUUGGUCUGUUUAGAGAUAGUGCUAAUCUUGAUGCAAGAUAGGUGCACGAUUUGCAUGGAACAUACCAUAUGCUCAGAAAUUAAUUUGGACGCACCAGAUGGAACUCCUAGAUGACAGGUGUCGUAUGGAAUCUCACUUCGGUCCGUUUAGAGACAGUGUUAGUUUCAGUGCAAGAUAGGUGCACGGUUUGCACCUAAUGCACCAUAGGAUAAGAAACCAUUUUGGACGCACCCGAUGGUACUCCUAGGUCAAGGGGCUAAAGUGAAAGCUCGGUUUGGUCUGUUUGGAGAGAGUGCUAAUCUUGAUGCAAGAUAGAUGCACGGUUUGCAUGGAACAUACGAUAUGCUCAGAAAUCAAUUAGGACGCACCUGAUAUAACUCCUUGAUGAUGUGCGUCAUAUGGAAUCUUGCUUCGGUUCGUUUAGAGACUGAUAGUUUUGGUAGAAGAUAUGGGCAUGGUUUACGCCUAAUUCACCAUAAGCUAAGAAACUAUUUUAGACGCUGAUGAGGACAUCAACACCAGCGAUACAUCCUCUCCGACACAACCUAUAGCUGGUCCUCUUACUCGUGCUCGUGUUCGUCAACUUAAUAAUCAAGUGAGUUCCUUGAUAAGCUCGUGUCCAUCUUGUUUAGGGACGCGUCCUAGGGUUGGAGGACGACCCCAACACCUCUUUGGUCGUCAAUCCAUCUACUUAUAUCCCUCUAGAGCGGCCAUGGUCGUUGGGUUUUAUUUAGAUCAAGUUUAGCCUUCGCUACUUGCUUGUAGGCGCGCGUGCAGGAUCAGCCGCCCGUCUCCUUGUCUUCAGAACCCCAUUGUUGAUUCAGAUUCAGUUUGAAACCUUCAAUUCAUCUUGCAAAUUCAGUGCUUGUUUCCUCGUUCUUGCUAGUUCAUCGAUUGCUUGCAGGAUGGGAGCCCUAGGGGCUGGUUGUCGCGCUCCACAACAUCGUGACGGCUGUUGGACGUGGUGUAUCGGUUGCUAAGGCGCGGUCUUGAGGGCUGUAGUCGGGCCGUGAACGUCAUCUCCAUCCACCAAUCGAGUUAUCCCCGUCUCUCAUCAAAAGAUCAGGCAAAAACCCUAGCGGGUUCGCAUCAGUUGGUAAUCAGAGCAAGGUUCUUCGGUGAGAGACUUCUAAUCCUUUGCUGUUUUUAAUUAAUUUCCUAUAAUCCAGAAAAGCCAAAAAAAAUAUAGUAGAUUAGUUUUUCCAUAAUCCUAUUAAACCUUUGUGCCUUGGCUAGUACCGUUUUGGUUAGGGCUUGUUGAAUUUGCGUUGCUUCGGUUUGUGUCGAGUUGCUAGUCUUAGUGUCUAGUCCUUUAGAGUUUCGAGUUCUUAUCACCAUCUAUACACAGCCGAGUAUUACCAUAUCUUCUCUCUGUCGAAUCUGUUGCGAAGUCCGAAUUGAACUGUGGUCUUGGUCCGGAUCGAGUAGAGUUCCAAUCUGAGUUCCACCAACGUGAUAAAAAAAAAGAAGGAUAACUCCAUACUUGUUCGGCCCUACUCUAGAGAGAGAGAGAGAGAAUUGCUCUUUUGUAUUCUUUUAUUCAUAUAAUCAGUUUUUGAGGUUGCCCAAAAAAAAAGAAAAAAAAAGAAAAAAAAGAGAAAAGAUUCAAAAAAAGGGGCUGUUUUUUAUAUUGAUUUUAGGUUUCUUCCACCUUGUUUUCGGGGGUGUGCUGUGGUUUUCCUUUGUGUCCAGGCUCGCGUCUCUAGCACGGUCUAGCCUAGGACCAGCACAGUACCAUCGUCGAACGCUUAUUCAGCUCGCUUUUUAUAACUAACGUGGUGCUAGUUCGUUCCUUGUUUCAGCCCACCUAUAGCUCCACAUACUCUACAGCUUGACAGGUCUUGUGCUGCAGCACCGAUACACUUCGUCCAUUGCUGUACACUUGUUGGCAGACGACCCCUCCUGUCAAGCAAGGUAAGAAUUGGUAAGAACUUGUGUUACAGGUUGAGUGUGAGCGACUUGCUGUAGCUACAUCCUAGUAGUUGUAGGGCUUUUAUUUCUUCACUUGCCUUUUUGUUGUCUUUGUCUUUGAACCAUGCCAGGGGCAGAUGAUGGUAACGAAACACCACUUACACCUCGCACUAAGGGCAUCAUACAACAUUUUGAAAGGAAAGUGAAGCUGCACAUAAAGGGACUUGAUAACGACUUGCAGGUGACAAAUGAAAAGCUGGGGCAGUUGGAGGCUACGCAGAUUGCCACAAACAACAAGCUCACAAGUUUGGAGGAAUCCAUUGCUAGUGUGGACAAAAGCCUUGCUGCUCUCCUAAGGCGAUUUGAUGAUUUCCACACCAAAGAUAAAGAGAAGCAUAAAGAAGAAAAGGAGGGAGAUCGAGAGCACGGUAGUCAUGAAGAUGACUACACUGGUGAUACUGAACAUGAUGAUCAAGACACUCGUGAUCGACGUCGCCUUCGUCACAACCGUAGAGGUAUGGGUGGCAACCACCGACGCGAGGUACACAAUAAUGAUGAUGCUUUCAGUAAGAUUAAAGUUAAGAUACCCCCUUUUGAUGGUAAAUAUGACCCUGAUGCUUACAUCACUUGGGAGAUUGCUGUUGAUCAAAAGUUUGCAUGUCAUGAAUUUCCUGAGACUACACGUGUUAGGGCUGCUACUAGUGAGUUUACAGAUUUUGCUUCUGUUUGGUGGAUAGAAUAUGGAAAGAAAAAUCCUAAUAACUUACCUAGAACUUGGGAUGCGCUGAAAAGGGCCAUGAGAGCUAGAUUUGUUCCAUCUUACUAUGCGCGUGAUAUGAUAAAUAAGUUGCAGCAGUUAAGACAAGGUGCUAAAAGUGUAGAAGAAUAUUAUCAGGAAUUACAAACGGGUAUGUUGCGUUGUAACCUAGAGGAGGAUGAGGAACCGACUAUGGCUAGAUUUUUGGGUGGGUUAAAUCGGGAAAUUCAGGACAUCCUCGCUUACAAAGAAUACAAUAAUGUAACCCGUUUGUUUCAUCUUGCUUGUAAAGCUGAAAGGGAAGUGCAGGGACGACGUGCUAGCGCAAGGAGUAAUAUUUCUGCAGGGAAGGCUAAUUCAUGGCAGCAACGCGUGGCUUCAACUCCAUCUACACGUAUUUCUACUCCAUCAUCUAGUGACAAGACUCGAGCUGCCCCCACCAAUUCAGUUGCGAAGACGAUGCAAAAGCCUGCUGCGAGUACUUCAUCCGUGGCAUCGACGGGUAGAACAAGCAACAUACAAUGUCACCGGUGCAAGGGAUAUGGGCACAUGAUGCGUGACUGUCCAAACAAGCGAGUUAUGAUUGUCAGGGAUGAUGGUGAGUACUCAUCUGCUAGUGAUUUUGAUGAGGAUACACUUGCACUGCUUGCGACUGACCAUGCAGGUAAUGAAGAUCAAAUAGAAGAACAUAUUAAUGCAGGUGAAGCGGACCACUAUGAGAGCUUGAUCGUGCAGCGAGUGCUUAGUGCACAAAUGGAGAUGGCGGAGCAAAAUCAGCGACACAUUUUAUUCCAAACAAAGUGUGUCAUCAAAGAGUGUUCUUGUCGCAUGAUCAUUGAUGGAGGUAGCUGCAACAACUUGGCAAGCAGCGAUAUGGUGCAGAAGCUUGCCCUCAACACCAAACCACACCCGCAUCCCUACUACAUCCAAUGGCUGAACAACAGUGGUCAGGCAAAGGUAACUAGACUUGUGAGAAUUAAUUUUUCCAUCGGAUCCUACAAAGAUAUUGUUGAAUGUGAUGUUGUUCCUAUGCAAGCUUGUAACAUUCUGCUAGGUAGACCUUGGCAAUUUGAUAGAUAUUCUAUGCAUCAUGGUAGAUCAAAUCAAUAUUCUUUUCUAUACCAUGAUCACAAAAUUGUGUUGCAUCCUAUGUCCCCUGAAACUAUUAUGCAAACUGAUGUUGCUAGGGCUACUAAAGCAAAGAGUGAGAGCAAUAAAAAUGAUAAAUCUGUAAUUGGUAACAAAGAUGAGAUAAAACUGAAAGGACGUUGUAUGAUAGCUACCAAAUCAGAUAUUAAUGAGUUCAAUGCAUCCACUUCUGUUGCUUAUGCUUUGAUAUGCAAGGAUGCUUUGAUUUCAAUUGAGGAUAUGCAAUGUUCUUUGCCCCCUGCUGUUGCUAACGUUUUGCAGGAGUAUUCUGAUGUGUUUCCAAGUGAGGUACCAGCGGGGCUGCCUCCACUACGCGGGAUUGAGCACCAAAUUGAUCUUAUUCCUGGACCAGUUUUGCCAAAUCGUGCACCAUACAGGACAAACCCGGAGGAAACAAAGGAAAUUCAGCGACAAGUGCAAGAACUACUAGACAAAGGUUAUGUCCGAGAAUCUCUUAGUCCUUGUGCUGUUCUAGUAAUUUUAGUGCCUAAGAAAGAUGGAACAUGGAGUAUGUGUGUUGAUUGUAGAGCUAUUAAUAAUAUCACCAUUCGAUAUCGACACCCUAUUCCACGAUUAGAUGAUAUGCUAGAUGAGCUGAGUGGUGUUGUUGUGUUUUCAAGAGUUGAUANNNNNNNNNNNNNNNNNNNNNNNNNNNNNNNNNNNNNNNNNNNNNNNNNNNNNNNNNNNNNNNNNNNNNNNNNNNNNNNNNNNNNNNNNNNNNNNNNNNNNNNNNNNNNNNNNNNNNNNNNNNNNNNNNNNNNNNNNNNNNNNNNNNNNNNNNNNNNNNNNNNNNNNNNNNNNNNNNNNNNNNNNNNNNNNNNNNNNNNNNNNNNNNNNNNNNNNNNNNNNNNNNNNNNNNNNNNNNNNNNNNNNNNNNNNNNNNNNNNNNNNNNNNNNNNNNNNNNNNNNNNNNNNNNNNNNNNNNNNNNNNNNNNNNNNNNNNNNNNNNNNNNNNNNNNNNNNNNNNNNNNNNNNNNNNNNNNNNNNNNNNNNNNNNNNNNNNNNNNNNNNNNNNNNNNNNNNNNNNNNNNNNNNNNNNNNNNNNNNNNNNNNNNNNNNNNNNNNNNNNNNNNNNNNNNNNNNNNNNNNNNNNNNNNNNNNNNNNNNNNNNNNNNNNNNNNNNNNNNNNNNNNNNNNNNNNNNNNNNNNNNNNNNNNNNNNNNNNNNNNNNNNNNNNNNNNNNNNNNNNNNNNNNNNNNNNNNNNNNNNNNNNNNNNNNNNNNNNNNNNNNNNNNNNNNNNNNNNNNNNNNNNNNNNNNNNNNNNNNNNNNNNNNNNNNNNNNNNNNNNNNNNNNNNNNNNNNNNNNNNNNNNNNNNNNNNNNNNNNNNNNNNNNNNNNNNNNNNNNNNNNNNNNNNNNNNNNNNNNNNNNNNNNNNNNNNNNNNNNNNNNNNNNNNNNNNNNNNNNNNNNNNNNNNNNNNNNNNNNNNNNNNNNNNNNNNNNNNNNNNNNNNNNNNNNNNNNNNNNNNNNNNNNNNNNNNNNNNNNNNNNNNNNNNNNNNNNNNNNNNNNNNNNNNNNNNNNNNNNNNNNNNNNNNNNNNNNNNNNNNNNNNNNNNNNNNNNNNNNNNNNNNNNNNNNNNNNNNNNNNNNNNNNNNNNNNNNNNNNNNNNNNNNNNNNNNNNNNNNNNNNNNNNNNNNNNNNNNNNNNNNNNNNNNNNNNNNNNNNNNNNNNNNNNNNNNNNNNNNNNNNNNNNNNNNNNNNNNNNNNNNNNNNNNNNNNNNNNNNNNNNNNNNNNNNNNNNNNNNNNNNNNNNNNNNNNNNNNNNNNNNNNNNNNNNNNNNNNNNNNNNNNNNNNNNNNNNNNNNNNNNNNNNNNNNNNNNNNNNNNNNNNNNNNNNNNNNNNNNNNNNNNNNNNNNNNNNNNNNNNNNNNNNNNNNNNNNNNNNNNNNNNNNNNNNNNNNNNNNNNNNNNNNNNNNNNNNNNNNNNNNNNNNNNNNNNNNNNNNNNNNNNNNNNNNNNNNNNNNNNNNNNNNNNNNNNNNNNNNNNNNNNNNNNNNNNNNNNNNNNNNNNNNNNNNNNNNNNNNNNNNNNNNNNNNNNNNNNNNNNNNNNNNNNNNNNNNNNNNNNNNNNNNNNNNNNNNNNNNNNNNNNNNNNNNNNNNNNNNNNNNNNNNNNNNNNNNNNNNNNNNNNNNNNNNNAGUUUUGGUGCAAGAUAGGUGCACAGUUUGCACCUAAUGCACCAUAGUCUAAGAAACCAUCUUGGACGCACUUGUUGGUACUCCUAGGUGAAGGGGCUCAAGUGGAUGCUCGGUUUGAUCUAUUUGGAGAUAGUGCUAAUCUUGAUGCAAGAUAGAUGCAUGGUCUGUAUGGAACGUACCAUAUGCUUAGAAUUUAAUUUGGACACACCCGAUAGAACUCUUUGACGACGUGUGUCACAUGGAAUCUCGCUUUGGUGUGCUUAGAGAUAGUAUUAGUUUCGGCGCAAGAUAUGUGCACGGUUUGUGCCUAAUGAACCAUAGUCUAAGAAACCAUUUUUGACGCACCUGUUUGUACUCCUAGAUGAAGAAGCUCAAGUGGAAGCUUGGUUCGGUCUGUUUGGAGAUAGUGCUAAUCUUGAUGCAAGAUAGGUGCACGGUUUGCAUGGAACAUACAAUAUGCUUGGAAAUCAAUGUGGAUGCACCCGAUGGAACUCCUUGAUGACGUGUGUCAUAUGGAAUCUCGCUUUGGUCUGUUUAGAAACAGUGUUAGUUUCGGUGCAAGAUAUGUGCAUGGUUUAUGCCUACUGCACCAUAGUCUAAGAAACCAUUUUGUAAGCAACUGUUGGUACUUCGGUGAAGAGGCUCAAGUGGAAGCUCGAUUUGAUCUGUUUGGAGAUAGUGCUAAUCUUGAUGCAAGAUAGGUGCAUGAUUUGCAAGGAACAUACCAUAUGCUUAAAAAUAAAUUUGGACGCACCCAAUGGAACUCCUAGAUGACGUGUGUCAUAUGGAAUCUUGCUUUUGUCCGUUUGUAGACAUUGCAAGUUUUAGUGCAAGAUAAUUGCACAGUUUGCGCCUAAUGCACCAUAGUCUAAGAAACCAUUUUGGACGCACUAUUUGGUACUCUUGGAUGAAGAGGCCCAAGUGGAAGCUUUGUUCGGUCAGUUUGGAGAUAGUGCUAAUACUUAUGCAAGGUAGGUGCAUGCUUUGCAUGGAACAUACCAUAUGCUUGGAAAUCAAUUUGGAUGCACCCGAUGGACCUCCUUGAUGACGUGUGUCACAUGGAAUCUUUCUUCAGUCCACUUGGAGAUAUUGUUAGUUUUGGUGCAAGAUAGGUGCACAGUUUGCACCUAAUGCACCAUAGUCUAAGAAACCAUUUGGACCGCACUUGUUGGUACUCCUAGGUGAAGGGGUUCAAGUGGAUGCUCGGUUUGAUCUAUUUGGAGAUAGUGCUAAUCUUGAUGCAAGAUAGAUGCAUGGUCUGUAUGGAACGUACCAUAUGCUUAGAAUUUAAUUUGGACACACCCGAUAGAACUCUUUGACGACGUGUGUCACAUGGAAUCUCGCUUUGGUGUGCUUAGAGAUAGUAUUAGUUUCGGCGCAAGAUAUGUGCACGGUUUGUGCCUAAUGAACCAUAGUCUAAGAAACCAUUUUUGACGCACCUGUUUGUACUCCUAGAUGAAGAAGCUCAAGUGGAAGCUUGGUUCGGUCUGUUUGGAGAUAGUGCUAAUCUUGAUGCAAGAUAGGUGCACGGUUUGCAUGGAACAUACAAUAUGCUUGGAAAUCAAUGUGGAUGCACCCGAUGGAACUCCUUGAUGACGUGUGUCAUAUGGAAUCUCGCUUUGGUCUGUUUAGAAACAGUGUUAGUUUCAGUGCAAGAUAUGUGCAUGGUUUAUGCCUACUGCACCAUAGUCUAAGAAACCAUUUUGUAAGCAACUGUUGGUACUUCGGUGAAGAGGCUCAAGUGGAAGCUCGAUUUGAUCUGUUUGGAGAUAGUGCUAAUCUUGAUGCAAGAUAGGUGCAUGAUUUGCAAGGAACAUACCAUAUGCUUAAAAAUCAAUUUGGACGCACCCAAUGGAACUCCUAGAUGACGUGUGUCAUCUGGAAUCUUGCUUUUGUCCGUUUGUAGACAUUGUAAGUUUUAGUGCAAGUUAGGUGCACAGUUUGCACCUAAUGCACCAUAGUCUAAGAAACCAUUUUGGACGCACUUGUUGGUACUCCUAGGUGAAGGGGCUCAAGUGGAUGCUCGGUUUGAUCUAUUUGGAGAUAGUGCUAAUCUUGAUGCAAGAUAGAUGCAUGGUCUGUAUGGAACGUACCAUAUGCUUAGAAUUUAAUUUGGACACACCCGAUAGAACUCUUUGAUGACGUGUGUCACAUGGAAUCUCGCUUUGGUGUGCUUAGAGAUAGUAUUAGUUUCGGCGCGAGAUAUGUGCACGGUUUGUGCCUAAUGAACCAUAGUCUAAGAAACCAUUUUUGACGCACCUGUUUGUACUCCUAGAUGAAGAAGCUCAAGUGGAAGCUUGGUUCGGUCUGUUUGGAGAUAGUGCUAAUCUUGAUGCAAGAUAGGUGCACGGUUUGCAUGGAACAUACAAUAUGCUUGGAAAUCAAUGUGGAUGCACCCGAUGGAACUCCUUGAUCGCUUAUUGCCGUCCGCACUCGACGGUUCAGAGCAACCUCAGCCUCGAGCUGAGCCUUGGCGUUGCGAGCCUCGGCUUGGGCGGCCAGGAGUUCGUCCUUGAGCCCUAUAAACGCCAAUACAGAGAAGGUUUAGGAAAAACUCAAGCACACCUCGAAAAGGAAAUUCGACAAAGGGAACAUACCUUUGAUGCUCUCCUCUAGAGCCGUGUUCUCGCCAACCAAUCUGGUGUUGGCACGCUCGAUCUCUCUGUUGGAGCGCGCCAGCUCAGUAUUGGCGACGCGGAGAUCUUCGAUCACCCUGCCAGCCUGGGCGACGGCUCCACUCUUCUCCAGCAGUUCUCCCUUCAGACGCUCGACGUCGUCAGAGAGACUGCGGGAUCGAGCUCGCUCUAUCUCGAGGUCUUCGAGGGCUUUCUUCUUCGCGUCCUCGGCGGCACCCCUGGCGACCUCAUUGUCCACGUACGCCACCUUCAUCUUCUGGAAGGUAUCGCGGAGGGAGUCCAGGUCGGUUUGGAGAAGGCCCUUUUCCUUGUCCAGAUCCGCGAUGACGCUCUUGUGGGACAGGACCUCCUCCCGGGCUCUGGACGCGGCCUCCUCGACUGUAAGAGCCCGCUCCCGUAGCCGCACCGCCUCCUCCUCCGCCUUCUUCGAGACCUCUCGGGCCUCGGCCAAAGCAGCCCCCCUCACUUUCUUCUCCUCCUCGAGUGCUAUAAGAUCUUUGUAAGCUUUAAGCAGCUUUUCCUGCGACUCGAGGAGUUGAUCCUUGAGGAGGGGAAGCUGCUCCCAUCCGCCCCUCGUGGCGUGAAUGAAGCUAGACUUGAUGCGAGAGGUCUCUUUCAUAUCCUGCGAAUCAGGGGUCAGGGGGAUUAGAACACAGAAACCCAAAAGCACCACCAAGAUUGGAGCUCGAGAAACACUUACAAAAUAAGCUGGCCCAAGCCCGUUGUUGAUGACGUCCGAUAGGAGCCCCACCACGUGUUUCAUCCAAAGGCGGAGCUCCUCGACGUGCUCCCACUUCUCGACCUCCUUCUUGUCGUCGAGGAAGAUAUUGGGCUCGGACGGGUCGCUGGAAGCUCGGAUACGAAUCCGAUCGGGACACCAGUUCUCCAUCUCCCGAUCGGCCCGCACUUUGACGCCGCGGAGAAAGUUCUCGACGGUCUCGAGGGAACCCCCGUGGCGCAAGAACAGGUCGGCGAGGCAAGGGAACCGCUCGUCGUCAUCCACCGUUUUCCAUGUACCGUCCUUGCUCCCAGACGACCCGAUCUCGUCCUCCUCAGAGGGAAAGCGGUCCUCCCACGCUCGACGCUCCCGGAGGAACCCUGGGGCGAUCCCGUCCAUGCCGUAGAGUGUCCUCUUGAUCUCGGACUCGGGGUCGGUGGGGGUGCGCAUCAUGCAGGCGAGCGCCACCACUCCGUCCGCUCGCCCCGACUCUGCCCGGAUCGCGGCAGGCGCCCCCGGGAGGAGCCACGCUGGGGUGGGAGGCCCGUACACCGGCAAAUCUCCCUCUUGAUCGCCGGGCUCUUGCGACGCCAGCGGCGCCGGUUCGGCCAAAAUUUGAGGCGGGGGCUCGAGUGGCUCGUUCUCUUGACCCCCCAGCUGCUGUUGCUGCCCCAGCUGCUGCUGCUGCUCCUCCUGCUGAUGCUGCAGUUGCUCCUCCGGCUGGGGUCGCUGCUGCUGCUGCUCCAGUGACGGCUGCGUCGCCUCGCGCUCCCGCCCCUCCUCCUCCACCAUCUUCCUUUGCGCCUCGAGGGCUCGAAGGCCUGCGGGCCAGGGAGUCCGUCCUGCGACGUUGGGAGUCGACGCCUCUUCCUCCAUGGGUCGAGCGCCCCCAGACGCUUCGUUGCCAUCAGACGUAUCGCUGAUGGUGAUGGGUUCCCCCUCGACCCCCAAUCGAGAGGGCUCGGGGGCUCCCUCUGACGCUCGCGUCUGGGGGGCCGCAUCAUGAGUCGGUGGCGGCGGAGUAGGCGCGGGACGAGGCGAAGCCAUCUCGACGCCGGCUGAAGGUUGGGUGCUUGACGGGCCUACAAAACAAAGGGUAAGUGUCAGACGUUAUGAUAACCGACGUAAUAAUAUCGCGACACCCAGGAAUUAACUACGAACCUGGUUCCGUGGAGGCGGCACCCGUUCUGAGCCUCUUGGCCAUCGAUGGUUGGGCCUGCUCGAGGGUCCGUUUCAACCUGAGAAAAAGUCAGCAUGUGAGGAAAGGUGAAAGAAUGAGGGGACAAAGACCGCAACAACAAAAGGGCUUACCCCACGGGCAGAACGGCUCGCCUUCCGCCACCCCGACCAGCGGGCCUCGAGCCACCCCGCGUCGGGGCGCUAGGCCCCUCGAGGGCAGAAACUGGCCUAGGUACGUCGGAUCCCGCCUGGUGGGCGCCGGGACUCACGCUCCUACGGCCGGCGUCUCCUUUCUCAGAGGCCGCAGCGCGACCGCGGGUUAGCGGCCCCGACGCCUGGGACCUAGCCGGACCGCUCUCCCUGGGCGCCAGGGGAGGGCGCGGUGCGUCUUGGCCCGCCUUGAGCGCGGAAGGAGCGUCGGGCCGGGGACGACGAGAUCCGCUCGGACCCUCCUCCGGCGCCUCCGUCCGGGGGGCGUCGACGUCACCUCGAGGCGGGCCCUCGAGGAUCCGAUCGAGGCGCGACGCCAUCCCCUCGGAGUCGUCGCUACUCUCGUCGUCGUCAUCGUCAUCAUUGGGGGAUUCUUCCUCAGGCUCCCCCCUCUGCCUGGAUUUGGCUCGACGCACCUCUAAUGCUUGGCGGUCGAGAUUCUUCUUCUUCUCCCCCUUUUUUGCGGAGUCCUUGGCAGACUUCAACUUCUCGGCGGAUUGGCGCCGUUUGUCGCGAUCGACCUCGUCCUCCUUUACUGGAGGCCUCGAGGACCGGACAUCAAUCCGACCCUGCCAAAACUAAGGUAGACUUAGAAAAAAAAGAGAGGGGAGAGGGGAAACCUAGAAUCGAGGAUGCGCGCAAGAAGAAAGCGUACCAGAUCGAUCGAGCCUGCGUCAGGUCUCAUGGGGAAGCCGUUGACAUGCUCCGGCUUAAAAUCACCGGCAAUUGCGGCCCUGACUCGGGCCGCGACUUCAUCGUCCGUCGGAGGCUCGCUGGACAUCCGACAUGCCUCGAGGUCCCGAGACGAGACGCCAGGGCCCAUCUCGUCCAUCCUCAGCGGUCGUGACAUCAGAGGGAGAACUCUCCGAUGAUGGACGGCCGAGAGGACGAGGGCGGCGGUCAAAUCUUCCUGGCGAAGCUUCUUCAGGGCGUCGAGGAGAGGGUCGAGCCGAGGCUGAUGAGCUUGGACGACGCCGUACGUCCAGUCCGCUGGGCGCUCCAAGAUCAGACGGCCCGAGUAGGAAGGUAGGAGGUUGUCGUCGUUCCGCAGGUAGAACCAUUGGGAGUCCCAACCGGCAUGGUUGGUCGACAACCCUACCGGGAUGUACUCCCGCGGCCGGUCCGUCUUCCCCGUCUUCUGCACCAGAUUGAGGCAACCCGCUCGCACGGGUUUCCUCACGCCCGUGGUUCCGGUGGAGGCGUGAAACAGCUCGCCCCUGUAGAGGUGGAGCCACAGCUCCCAGUGCGGCAUCAUCCCUAGGAAGCCCUCACACACGGCGGCGAAGACCGCCGCCACGGUGAUGGCGUUCGGAGAGAAGUGCUGCAGCUCCACCCCAUAAUGGAAGCAGAGGGCCCGCAUGAAGCGGCUUGGAGGCGCGCCCAGACCGUGGUGGUGAAACUUGGCGAACGACACCACGUAGCCCUCGGGUGGCUGAGGCGCCCUGUGGCUCGCUGGCGGCGCAAUCCACUCUGGCGACGACAGCGAGGUGCGGCGGCGCAGCAGUCCCUCCUUCUCGAGCUCUAACAGCCGGCGCUCCGUCAUCGACGACGGGCGCCAGUCAUCGGCGGCGACGAGUCUUACAGGCAUCUCGGCUAACGGGACGGUGGGUUCGCUACGGCUCGAGGGGGCGUGUGCGCGUGAGAUGACGAGAAAGCAAAGGCAGCAAAGGAACGAGAGCGAGAAGGCGGAAGGGAGAGGAACGGCGGUGACGCGACGACAUAUUUAUAGGCAGCUGUCCGCCAACGGACAGAUCCGAGAAGUAAGGUAACUCCCCCCAUAAAUGCGCCGCCUGACAGCUCUCUCUCUCUCUCCUCACAGGCCGGACUCUCCGAAUUCCUCGCCGAUACGGUGUCGCAACGUCAUCCGCCUGGAAAGACGCGCCCAACGGGCAGAAAGGCGAACCGCCACGACCGUUUCAUAUCCCAUCGUAAGCCAAGGGACAUAACCGCAAAAGUCUCGAGAGGUCGAUGGCUGGCCCGCCGAAAGGGUUCGACAGCCGAUCUCGAGCGCUAGAGUCAGGGAUCCCCAGCGAGCGGUCGAAGAUCGAGGCCCGCCUCGAGGACUCGCUGGUGAUGUUCAAGGUAGGGUCGAGACAGUCGAGAGGAAUCCCCCCGAAGGGAGGCAUCGAGCCGCUGGACUCUAUCGAAUGAGACCAGUAUCCCCGACCACGUCGACCCUGCUUUAUGAGGACGCCUCCGGGCUACAGCUGACCCCCUCGAAAGGACACAGGUUCUCACUUGGACUNNNNNNNNNNNNNNNNNNNNNNNNNNNNNNNNNNNNNNNNNNNNNNNNNNNNNNNNNNNNNNNNNNNNNNNNNNNNNNNNNNNNNNNNNNNNNNNNNNNNAGCUGGCUCCCAUUUCCUUUUGGCCAAGGGAUAAAGAUAGAUGUGGAGAGGUUUGUUGCUCGUUGCACAACAUGUCAAAAGGCAAAGUCACGGUUAAAUCCCCACGGUUUGUAUUUAUCUCUUCCUGUUCCUAAUGCUCCUUGGGAGGAUAUAUCUAUGGAUUUUGUGUUGGGACUACCAAGGACUAGGAGGGGACGUGAUAGUGUGUUUAUGGUUGUUGAUAGAUUUUCUAAGAUGGCACAUUUCAUACCAUGUCAUAAAACUGAUGAUGCUACAAAUAUUACUGAUUUGUUCUUUCGAGAAAUUGUUCGCUUACAUGGUGUGCCCAACACAAUUGUUUCUGAUCGUGAUGCUAAAUUUCUUAGUCAUUUUUGGAAGACUUUGUGGUUCAAAUUGGGGACUAAGCUUUUAUUUUCCACCACUUGUCAUCCCCAAACUGAUGGUCAAACUGAAGUUGUUAAUAGAACUUUAUCCACUAUGUUAAGGGCUGUUUUAAAGAAGAAUAUUAAGAUGUGGGAAGAAUGUUUGCCUCAUAUUGAGUUCGCCUAUAAUCGUUCAUUGCAUUCUACUACAAAAAUGUGUCCUUUUGAGAUUGUCUAUGGCUUCUUGCCACGUGCUCCUAUUGAUUUAGUGCCUUUGCCAAGUUCUGAAAAAAUAAAUUUUGAUGCUAAGCAACGUGCUGAAUUGAUGUUAAAAUUGCAUGAAGCCACUAAACAAAACAUAGAGCGCAUGAAUGCUAAGUACAAAUGCGCUGGAGAUAAAGGUAGAAAGCAAUUGAUUCUGGAACCUGGGGAUUUGGUUUGGUUGCAUUUGCGAAAAGAUAGAUUUCCAGAACUGAGAAAAUCCAAAUUGAUGCCUAGAGCUGAUGGUCCUUUUAAAGUGCUGCAACGGAUCAAUGAGAAUGCAUAUAAGCUUGAUCUUCCUGCAGAUUUUAGGGUUAGUCCCACAUUUAACAUUGCAGAUUUGAAGCCUUAUUUGGGUGAGGAAGAUGAGCUUGAGUCGAGGACGACUCAAAUGCAAGCAAGAGAGGAUGAUGAGGACAUCAACACCAGCGAUACAUCCUCUCCGACACAACCUAUAGCUGGUCCUCUUACUCGUGCUCGUGUUCCUCAACUUAAUAAUCAAGUGAGUUCCUUGAUAAUCUCGUGUCCAUCUUAUUUAGACAAUGGAAACGCGUGCACUCUUGUUUUGAUUAGGAACCAAGUAGAAGACCAAAAGGGAGAAGGACUCACGCUCGCUGGAUUCGCACAGCAGCAAAGCGCCAACUUGUGACCGUUACCACGGUUGCAUACGGAUUCGGAUUCAGGCGCUUCAGAACUUGUUGAAAAUCUUAUCAAGUCUACUUUCAUAUGAAUCAAGUCCCACAUCAAUACCUGUUUGGCAGCAGCGGCAAUGAUCCAAUUACCGUCGAUAGGUCUUGCUGUCCAGGGUGCUGCGUCACCUCAUUUUGGGCUGAUGGCCAUCAAGUUGGGUCCAUUAGGGACGCAUCCUAGGGUUGGAGGACGACCCCAACACCUCUUUGGUCGUCAAUCCAUCUACUUAUAUCCCUCUAGAGCCGCCAUGGUCGUUGGGUUUUGUUUAGAUCAAGUUUAGCCUUCGCUACUUGCUUGUAGGCGCGCGUGCAGGAUCAGCCACCCGUCUCCUUGUCUUCGGAACCCCAUUGUUGAUUCAGAUUCAGUUUGAAACCUUCAAUUCAUCUUGCAAAUUCAGUGCUUGUUUCCUCGUUCUUGCUAGUUCUUCGAUUGCUUGCAGGACGGGAGCCCUAGGGGCUGGUUGUCGCGCUCUACAAGAUCGUGACAGCUGUUGGACGUGGUGUAUCGGUUGCUAAGGCGCGGUCUUGAGGGCUGUAGUCGGGCCGUGAACGUCAUCUCCAUCCACCGAUCGAGUUAUCCCCGUCUCUCAUCAAAAGAUCAGGCAAAAACCCUAGCGAGUUCGCAUCAGACGCCCUCGAUGGUACUCAUAGUUGAAGAGGCUCAAGUGGAGGCUCGAUUUGGUCUGUUCGGAUAUAGUGCUAAUCUUGAUGCAAGAUAGUUGCACAGUUUGAAUAGAACGUACCAUAUGUUAAGAAAUCAAUUUGGACGCACCCAAUGGAACUCCUAGAUGACGAGUCUCACAUGGAAUCUCGCUUCGCUCUGUUUGGAGACAAUGUUAGUUUCGAUGCAGAUAGGUGCAUAGUUUGUGCCUAAUGCACCAUAGUCUAAGAAACCAUUUUUGACGCACCUGUUUGUACUCCUAGAUGAAGAGGCUCAAGUGGAAGCUCAGUUCGUUCUGUUUGGAGAUAGUGCUAAUCUUGAUGCAAGAUAGGUGCACGGUUUGCAUGAACAUACAAUAUGCUUGGAAAUCAAUGUGGAUGCACCCGAUGGAACUCCUUGAUGACGUGUGUCAUAUGAAAUCUCGCUUUGGUCUGUUUAGAAACAGUGUUAGUUUCGGUGCAAGAUAUGUGCAUGGUUUGUGCCUACUGCACCAUAGUCUAAGAAACCAUUUUGGAAGCACCUAUUGGUACUUCGGUGAAGAGGCUCAAGUGGAAGCUCGGUUUGAUCUGUUUGGAGAUAGUGCUAAUCUCGAUGCAAGAUAGGUGCAUGAUUUGCAAGGAACAUACCAUAUGCUUAGAAAUCAAUUUGGACGCACCCAACGGAACUCCUAGAUGACGUGUGCCAUAUGGAAUCUUGCUUUUGUCCGUUUGUAGACAUUGUAAGUUUUAGUGCUGGAUAAUGGCACAGUUUGCGCCUAAUGCACCAUAGUCUAAGAAACCAUUUUGGACGCACUAUUUGGUACUCUUGGAUGAAGAGAACCAAGUGAAGCUUGGUUCGGUCAGUUUGGAGAUAGUGCUAAUACUUAUGCAUAGUAGGUGCAUGCUUUGCAUGGAACAUACCAUAUGCUUGGAAAUCAAUUUGGAUGCACCCGAUGGACCUCCUUGAUGACGUGUGUCAUAUGGAAUCUUGCUUCAGUCCAUUUGGAGAUAUUGUUAGUUUUGGUGCAAGAUAGGUGCACAGUUUGCACCUAAUGCACCAUAGUUUAAGAAACCAUUUUGGACGCACUUGUUGGUACUCCUAGGUGAAGGGGCUCAAGUGGAUGCUCGGUUUGAUCUAUUUGGAGAUAGUGCUAAUCUUGAUGCAAGAUAGAUGCAUGGUCUGUAUGGAACGUACCAUAUGCUUAGAAUUUAAUUUGGACACACCCGAUAGAACUCUUUGAUGACGUGUGUCACAUGGAAUCUCGCUUUGGUGUGCUUAGAGAUAGUAUUAGUUUCGGUGCAAGAUAUGUGCACGGUUUGUGCCCAAUGAACCAUAGUAUAAGAAACCAUUUUUGACGCACCUGUUUGUACUCCUAGGUGAAGAGGCUCAAGUGGAGGCUCGGUUUGGUCUGUUUAGAGAUAGUGCUAAUCUUGAUGCAAGAUAGGUGCACGGUUUGCAUGGAACAUACAAUAUGCUUGGAAAUCAAUGUGGAUGCACCCGAUGGAACUCCUUGAUGACGUGUGUCAUAUGGAAUCUCGCUUUGGUCUGUUUAGAAACAGUGUUAGUUUCGGUGCAAGAUAUGUGCAUGGUUUAUGCCUACUGCACCAUAGUCUAAGAAACCAUUUUGUAAGCAACUGUUGGUACUUCGGUGAAGAGGCUCAAGUGGAAGCUCGAUUUGAUCUGUUUGGAGAUAGUGCUAAUCUUGAUGCAAGAUAGGUGCAUGAUUUGCAAGGAACAUACCAUAUGCUUAAAAAUCAAUUUGGACGCACCCAAUGGAACUCCUAGAUGACGUGUGUCAUAUGGAAUCUUGCUUUUGUCCGUUUGUAGACAUUGCAAGUUUUAGUGCAAGAUAAUUGCACAGUUUGCGCGUAAUGCACCAUAGUCUAUGAAACCAUUUUGGACGCACUAUUUGGUACUCCUGGAUGAAGAGGCCCAAGUGAAAGCUCGGUUCGGUCUGUUUGGAGAUAGUGCUAAUACUUACGCAAGGUAGGUGCAUGCUUUGCAUGGAACAUAACAUAUGCUUGGAAAUCAAUUUGGAUGGUUGAUGACGUGUGUCAUAUGGAAUCUUGCUUCGGUCCAUUUGGAGAUAUUGUUAGUUUUGGUGCAAGAUAGGUGCACAGUUUGCACCUAAUGCACCAUAGUUUAAGAAACUAUUUUGGACGCACUUGUUGGUACUCCUAGGUGAAGGGGCUCAAGUGGAUGCUCGGUUUGAUCUAUUUGGAGAUAGUGCUAAUCUUGAUGCAAGAUAGAUGCAUGGUCUGUAUGGAACGUACCAUAUGCUUAGAAUUUAAUUUGGACACACCCGAUAGAACUCUUUGAUGACGUGUGUCACAUGGAAUCUCGCUUUGGUGUGCUUAGAGAUAGUAUUAGUUUCGGCGCAAGAUAUGUGCACGGUUUGUGCCCAAUGAACCAUAGUAUAAGAAACCAUUUUUGACGCACCUGUUUGUACUCCUAGAUGAAGAAGCUCAAGUGGAAGCUUGGUUCGGUCUGUUUGGAGAUAGUGCUAAUCUUGAUGCAAGAUAGGUGCACGGUUUGCAUGGAACAUACAAUAUGCUUGGAAAUCAAUGUGGAUGCACCCGAUGGAACUCCUUGAUGACGUGUGUCAUAUGGAAUCUCGCUUUGGUCUGUUUAGAAACAGUGUUAGUUUCGGUGCAAGAUAUGUGCAUGGUUUGUGCCUACUGCACCAUAGUCUAAGAAACCAUUUUGGAAGCACCUGUUGGUACUUCGGUGAAGAGGCUCAAGUGGAAGUUCGGGUUGAUCUGUUUGGAGAUAGUGCUAAUCUCGAUGCAAGAUAGGUGCAUGAUAUGCAAGGAACAUACCAUAUGCUUAAAAAUCAAUUUGGACGCACCCAACGGAACUCCUAGAUGACGUGUGUCAUAUGGAAUCUUGCUUUUGUCCGUUUGUAGACAUUGCAAGUUUUAGUGCAAGAUAAUUGCACAGUUUGCGCCUAAUGCACCAUAGUCUAAGAAACCAUUUUGGACGCACUAUUUGGUACUCUUGGAUGAAGAGGCCCAAGUGGAAGCUUGGUUCGGUCAGUUUGGAGAUAGUGCUAAUACUUAUGCAAGGUAGGUGCAUGCUUUGCAUGGAACAUACCAUAUGCUUGGAAAUCAAUUUGGAUGCACCCGAUGGACCUCCUUGAUGACGUGUGUCAUAUGGAAUCUUGCUUCGGUCCAUUUGGAGAUAUUGUUAGUUUUGGUGCAAGAUAGGUGCACAGUUUGCACCUAAUGCACCAUAGUCUAAGAAACCAUUUUGGACGCACUUGUUGGUACUCCAAGGUGAAGGGGCUCAAGUGGAUGCUCGGUUCGAUCUAUUUGGAGAUAGUGCUAAUCUUGAUGCAAGAUAGAUGCAUGGUCUGCAUGGAACGAACCAUAUGCUUAGAAAUUAAUUUGGACACACCCGAUAGAACUCUUUGAUGACAUGUGUCAUAUGGAAUCUCGCUUUGGUGUGCUUAGAGAUAGUAUUAGUUUUGGUGCAAGAUAUGUGCACGGUUUGCGCCUAAUGCACCAAAGUCUAAGAAACCAUUUUGGAAGCACCUAUUGGUACUCCUAGGUGAAGAGGCUCAAGUGGAGGCUCGGUUUGGUCUGUUUAGAGAUAGUGCUAAUCUUGAUGCAAGAUAGGUGCACGAUUUGCAUGGAACAUACCAUAUGCUCAGAAAUCAAUUUGGACGCACCAGAUGGAACUCCUAUAUGACAUGUGUCGUAUGGAAUCUCACUUCGGUCCGUUUAGAGACAGUGUUAGUUUCAGUGCAAGAUAGGUGCACGGUUUGCACCUAAUGCACCAUAGGAUAAGAAACCGUUUUGGACGCACCCGAUGGUACUCCUAGGUCAAGGGGCUAAAGUGAAAGCUCGGUUUGGUCUGUUUGGAGAUAGUGCUAAUCUUGAUGCAAGAUAGAUGCACGGUUUGCAUGGAACAUACGAUAUGCUCAGAAAUCAAUUAGGACGCACCUGAUAUAACUCCUUGAUGAUGUGUGUCAUUUGGAAUCUUGCUUCGGUUCGUUUAGAGACUGUUAGUUUUGGUAGAAGAUAUGUGCAUGGUUUACGCCUAAUGCACCAUAAGCUAAGAAACUAUAUUAGACACACUCGAUGGUACUCAUAGUUGAAGAGGCUCAAGUGGAGGCUCGAUUUGGUCUGUUCGGAUAUAGUGCUAAUCUUGAUGCAAGAUAGUUGCACAGUUUGAAUGGAACGUACCAUAUGUUAAGAAAUCAAUUUGGACGCACCCAAUGGAACUCCUAGAUGACGUGUGUCACAUGGAAUCUCGCUUCGCUUUGUUUGGAGACAAUGUUAGUUUCGAUGCAGAUAGGUGCAUAGUUUGUGCCUAAUACACCAUAGUCUAAGAAACCAUUUUUGACGCACCUGUUUGUACUCCUAGAUGAAGAGGCUCAAGUGGAAGCUCGGUUCGGUCUGUUUGGAGAUAGUGCUAAUCUUGAUGCAAGAUAGGUGCACGGUUAGCAUGGAACAUACAAUAUGCUUGAAAAUCAAUGUGGAUGCACCCGAUGGAACUCCUUGAUGACGUGUGUCAUAUGGAAUCUCGCUUUGGUCUGUUUAGAAACAGUGUUUGUUUUGGUGCAAGAUAUGUGCAUGGUUUGUGCCUACUGCACCAUAGUCUAAGAAACCAUUUUGCAAGCACCUGUUGGUACUUCAAUGAAGAGGCUCAAGUGGAAGCUCGGUUUGAUCUGUUUGGAGAUAGUGCUAAUCUUGAUGCAAGAUAGGUGCAUGAUUUGCAAGGAACAUACCAUAUGCUUAAAAAUCAAUUUGGACGCACCAAAUGGAACUCCUAGAGGACGUGUGUCAUAUGGAAUCUUGCUUUUGUCCGUUUGUAGACAUUGUAAGUUUUAGUGCAAGAUAAUUGCACAGUUUGCGCGUAAUGCACCAUAGUCUAUGAAACCAUUUUGGACGCACUAUUUGGUACUCUUGGAUGAAGAGGCCCAAGUGAAAGCUCGGUUCGGUCUGUUUGGAGAUAGUGCUAAUACUUACGCAAGGUAGGUGCAUGCUUUGCAUGGAACAUAACAUAUGCUUGGAAAUCAAUUUGGAUGGUUGAUGACGUGUGUCAUAUGGAAUCUUGCUUCGGUCCAUUUGGAGAUAUUGUUAGUUUUGGUGC
rnacentral:lncRNA from 1 species